rnacentral:lncRNA from 1 species
AGAUUUUUAGCUAACAUUAGAUUGUAACAUCAUUAACUGGUUUGAACACGAAGCAAUUUUUUACCAUCUUCAAAUUCCCUUUUUUUAUUUUUUUGCUUUCAAUUUUUCCCCAUUAUGGCUGGUAAUCCUGCUGAUAUAAACUUAUCUUUGCUGCAGCUUUACAAGACGAAGGAAGAGAAGUAUCUGCUCGACUUACAGAAGGUUAGUGGGCCGCAGCUCCUCUUCCUCAACUUGUGCGCAUCCUUCCUCGCUCAGCUCAGGGUCUUGUGAUGCUUGGUUGAUUGACAAUUACAUUUUGGGCUCGUUUGGUGUCCGAGGUUGGAUUGAACAAAGCUAAGACGAGAGCGCGAUAUUGAGGGGUGCGCGUAGCGACUCAGAGGCGGUCGAGGUGGCCAAAAGUUAGCAUCAUUAAAUCUGGUCGGUUCACAUAAUUCUUCCUGACCAACCCUACAUGCGGCGAUGCUUGACGCUUUUGACUCGCGCAUCCCUCGUUCUCUCUCAUUUUCGCUGUCUCAUUUUAUCCGGUUCAAUUCAGUCCUGGGUGGCAAAUGGGCUUUUUAUUUGUGUGUUAGAAUAUUGUAAACAUUUGUUAUGAAGCUGAACCUUAUAAAUGUACAUAGACUAACCUUACGAUGGCUGUAAGAAGCUUCUCCUUACUGAGAUUCCGUACUCUCUCUCUCUCUCUCUCUACCAGUUGUCAUAUAUCAUUGGCCAGUGCCCGCUGAUGGGCAAAUGCUGUAAUUAAGAAAUUGCACGUUGUUUGCUUGCAUAUCUGUUAGGAUGCUAUGGUCGUGUAAGCUUACGGUUAACUCAAAACUAGAGCAUUUUAAAGUGUUUUUGGCUCAAGUUGGGGGUAAAAGCAAAUAGAUAGAUGCAUUUUUUUCUGUUUGGGGGGAUCAUAGAAAAUAUUUAAUUGCCUUAUUACGGUAUGUCUAAUGUUGAUAUUUCGCGAAUAACAAAAUAGGAUAUUUUUUAAUUGUAAUUUUACUACUCUUUUGCUUGGGAUUAGAUUUGAUCGACGAUUAUGAGCAUUAUUAGAAGUGCUUAUUUUAUUUAUGGGAAAUUAAUCAAAAGAUAAUGAUCAAUAUGGAGAGAGUUAAAAUAGAUUACGAUAGAGAUUAUUCAAGGGAAAAAAAAAAAAAGUAAAAUAGGAAUUUUGAUUUCCGGUUAUAAACUGCUAGCGAGUGAGAAACCCAUAAAGAAUUUAAAUAAAGAUUUUUCAAUCGUAAGUUGCUUUUUAACUAGCACCUGUCAAGGAGUCUACUGAUGACAUGGUAGACCAAGUCUAAGGAAAAGACCGUCCCUGCGCCACACGUGUCAUACUCCCAUAGGUUACCCCGAAAUCCCCGAUCGCGGUGACUACGGUCGCGAAUCAUUCGAGAGCCCAAACGUGUUAGGAAUUCUAUACUACCACACAUCAUAUCAUUAUUAUUAAUAUCAAGUUAAUCAUUUUUUUUUUCAAAUAAAAUUAUAAUAAAAUUAUUUUUUUAUAAUUAUAAUAGAAUAUAUAUAUUUUUUUAAAUUUGUUUUAAUUUUGUUACGUUACGUUACUAAUAUAUUCAUUACAUUCUAGAAUUUUUUUCAAACGUGUAUGUAUAAUAUAAAUAAAUAAAUAUAAAUAAUAAUAUACAUAAAUAUCCAUAACAUAUAAAAUAAUAAUUUUAUAUAAUAUAAAUAUUUUGUAUAUACAAAAGGCGUGUGAGAGCUUCAACCUAACAAACACCCCGAAAGCACCCUCCUCGUCCGCAAAACCCCUUCGCUCCUCCUCCCCCCUCGAACUCCUACUCCGCCGCCGCGGCGAUCUCCUUCGUCUUCGAUCGGGAUCGGGACGAAGCGUGGAGCGAGAGUGGCGCCAUGGGAUGCUCCGGAUCCGCUCCGAGAGGAGAAGGUGAGCCCCUCUCUUCGAUCGAUCUCCACUGCUACUACCUCUUCUUCUUCUACGUUUAGUUCACAUGAUGAUGAUCCCUUUUCCAAUCGCCUCCUUGUUUCGCCUUUGAUGUUGCCGUUAGAAUCGUAACCGUGUUUUCGAUCCUACUACGAUCUCUGUUCUACGUAUUAUCAUUAUCUGUUUUUGAGUCGUUUGAUCGCGACUAGGAUCUGAAUUUUGAAUUUUGGUGUAUAUUGGCGAUUGAUUUUGUCGACUUAUGUUAGGUUCCAGUAGUAUGCGCUGGUGAAGUGUUUUACUAGCAAUUGUUUGGUUUUCAACGUAGAAAGAAGGUCGACGAACGUGGUUUUGAUGUUCAUUAAUAAAGUCGCUUACGUAAGUUUGAAAGUUGCGAUUUAUUAUUUGAUUAAUUAUCAGUGUGUUGAUGUCCAGUGAAGGAACAGAGGAGCAGCGUGCAUUCAUUUCUUUGUCACUGAAUUCGCCGAUUAGGUCUCCAAAUAAUGAGAUUUUUUAUGUAAUUCUAAGCGCACAGUUGCUUUUUCUAGAAUUAUUUGUAGGAAUCCUAGGUUCCUACACUUUCCCUCCGCCACCAUAUCUGGAAAGUAUGGUUGCUUUAAGUCCUUUUAAGUCCGGCAAGUUAUAAGCCCUUUAGGUCUUAAAGGACAGAGAUAUAAAUAUAGGAAAGAAGCAAUUAUUACUCUGAAUAAGAUGACGGAGAGAUUGUGGAAACAUAGAGAUGAGGGCGCGUUUGGUUCGCACUACAAAAGAUUAUUAGGAAUAAAAAGAUGGCCGAGAAUUUUAUUCCUAUUCAUCCUAUUACUAAGAAUGUGGUAUUCAGGUAUUUGGUUCGCACGGCCAUAUUAUUUAGUCAUGUUCUUUAAGAUUAUGAAAAAUAUAUAAUUAAUUUAUUUGUUUCGUUAAUUAAUUUUAGAUAAUGCUAUAAAAAAUUUCAACAUCUUUUUAGAAAAAAAAAAGAGAGAAAAUAGAUUAGAGAGAGAGCAUAAUUAAAGAAAUAGAAAGAGAAAUAGAGUCGAGAUUAGAGGGAGAGAGAGUUGAGAUUUUAGAAAAAAGAAAGGGAGAGAGCUUAGUUUAGAGAGAGAAAAAGAAUUAAAGUUUAGAGAGAAAAAGAUAAGUUUAGAAAGAGAUAUGAGGUUAGGGUGUAAAGGAAAACAAUACCAACUAGCUUGUGGAUGGGGAGAAAGAAAGAAAUUAGACAUAUUAUAAUUAUCCAAAUCCAUUAAUAUGAUGAUACAAGCCCUUUCUCAAAGAAAUGAUAUCAGUACUUUGGGAUGAAUCUCAUUCCCAAAUAAAUCUAAUAUUACCAACUAGAUUACUUAGUGCGUUGAGUCAAACACCAUCAUAUUUUUUUUAUUCCUAUUGGAUUAUUAGAAAUCUUAAAAAGAUAGCACGAACCAAACGCACCCUUAGAGGUUCUUUGAGAGGAUACAAAUGAGCAGGUGCAUAUAUAAGGGCAAGCUCUUGAUGAUUGAAGAAAGUAGAAUAAUGAAAUGGAACUUAUACAUAGCAAGAAACCAACUAAGACUCUGUCGACUACUUUUCAACGUUACUUUAAGGCAUAUAGUGCCAAAAAGUAACUAAAUCUUAACCUAAACUUGCUAACCUAUUAGUUAUUGCUAUCAAGUCUUGUAAUGAAAUUAAAAGUAAGGGAAAAAUUACUAUAUAUAUGGGGAAGCUUAUUUUAUCUAGAUUUUGCAUAAAGCCUCAAAUAUGAAUCUUUCUGCAUCUAGAUGUGCGACCAAAUUGGGCAUUGUCGUCUUCCAGCCUUCUACCGUAUUGGUAAAAUAGAACAAAAGCAACUUUAGGUAAGUUGUUUGUGAAAAUAUUACUGUAUGGCAGAUAAGAAAUAGCUUAAUAGAUGCUCCUUAAUUGCAACUUUAUCUGAUGAAACACACUAUGUUUCUUCAUGAAUGGUAUCUACAAGAUUACGUUAAUUUAUUUAGUACUUUCUCAAAUUGGAGGGUAAGUUUCUACAUUUCUUGACUGCUUAGUCAGAGAGCAAGUUACAUGUUUCUACUAGUAUUAGCUCAUCUGGCCUUCUGCUUUCUCUUUUUAGGUAUUAGGUAUGUGUGGCUUUUUUUUUUAAGCGGAGUGCUUUUGAAUGAGGUUAGAAGGAAGAAACUACACCAACUUGUCCAUUUUUUUGCUCUUUAUAAAGGCAUUUUCAUCAUUCUCUUCUGAAAAGGAAGUAGACAUUUUUUUGCUUUGAAACUAUUCUGGCUUCAAUUCUCUAAUAAAUGGCGUAUUGAAUUAACCACAUUGCUCGAAGAAUAAUGUUCUGUAUUGAAUAUUAAUUUGUUUCUUCCCUUUGUUUCUUUGUAAGCUCCUGUGGAGUUUGCUACAUACCAUAUUCAUCUUCUUUUCUUUUUUCUUUUUUUUUUUUGAGAGAGAGAGAGGGAAAGGUAGCAAGCUACCCACUUCAUUCAUCAGCUGUACCAUAUUCAUCUUGUUAAACACUAGUUCCCCUUGUGCCCUUUAAGUCUCAUGUGAUUUCUUUUCCUUUUCCAAACUCAUUCUCAGCUGACUGCCUUACUCUCCAUAGGUUAUUUUUCUCACUUUCUCAAGACCAUCGGAUAAUCAAAAAUACGCAUGUCUGAUGAAAUGGUUGUUGCUAUCUGCUUAACAUAUUCUAUAUUGCAUAUAUCUCAUUUCUUUCACUGUUGUUGUUAAAUGGCCCUCUCUUGUUCUUUAUCAGUUAGACAUGUUGGUUCUAGCAAGCAUGAUUUCUUUGGUGCUGGGAUAAAUAAGAAACUCCAAAAGCCAAAGCCUUGGAAGCAUAAUCAACCAAUAACCAUGACACAACUCAAACAGAUGCGCGAAGAGUUCUGGGACACAGCUCAUUUCUAUGGUGGCCAGAAAGGUACUUGCUUACCUUUUAACCGAAUGGAAUUGUCACUUUAUCGUAAUACUCUGUGUUAUGUUGUACUGUUGAAAUAAAUCUCUAUAUCACUCCCUUUUGUCGACUUUAAUUCUUCCUAAUCUUGCCUCUAAUUCUUUUGUUCACAUUCAUUCUUUCUAAUUUCUUACUGGCUCCUUGAUAUUGAAGUCAUUGGGAUUAAUACUUUUUUGCAGUUCUUUUUAUUUAUUUAUUUAUUUGUUUUUGUUGUGCAUCAUAUAGGAUUAAAAUUUCAUGGACAUCCUGUAACUAUUGUAAAAUAAUGACCAUUUUCAGAUCAAACUGCAUGCUCGCUGAGAUUUUAAAUGAAACUUGUGUAUGCAUUUAACCAUUACAUGCUGAGAUUUAAUUCCUUUUGGUGCAGAGAUUUGGGAUGCACUCCAAGCUGCAGCAGAGGCCGAUCUAAACUUUGCGCAAACAAUAAUCGACAGUGCUGGCAUUAUUGUUUCCAAUGCUGACAUGUCACUCUGUUACGAUGAACGAGGUGAGAACUUAUUUGUGUUUUUAUUUCUCAAUUUUCUUCCAAAAAAUUCCUCUUCCUCUUUUGUCUGGGUCUAGCUCGAGAAAUCUUUUCCAUAACAACUCUAUCGCAGGUGCGAAGUAUGAACUGCCGAAGUUUGUUUUGAGUGAGCCAACCAAUUUAAUUCGAGACAGUUGACGGAAAAUGAAGAGAGUAAGAGCAUAUAGUUAGUUUGACAUUAGUGUAAAUUAUGCAAAGGGCUAUUCAUAACAUAUUUUUUGCUCUCUAUUUAGGUUCGCAUUAAAUUCUCCAAGUUCUAGUGAAAAUUUUAUAGUAAACCUUCUGUUUUUAUAAGAUUAAAGAUCAAUAAUUGCUCUUAGCCUUGGAUUCCAACUAUUUGGAGAUUCUUUUACCUAGCUCAUGUUUGAAUAUAAAUUUCUUUUGGUUGGACUUGAAAAGGAAUAUGUCUUUGACCCCAAAACCAAUUCUCUCUCUCUCUCUCUCUCUCUCUCUCUCUCUCUCUCUCUCUCUUUUUGUCAGUAUGAAUAUUUUGUUCACCAUUUCUUUUGGGAGCAUGAAAUAAGUCGUUUACGACUGCAUAUACAUACUAUAUGUGAGUGAAACUUUAUUUUCCAUAAAAUAUGAUAAAUUAUCUCUUAGCUGAAAUAUAUAAUCUUUAAAAAAAAAAAUUCAUAUUUAUGAGGGUAUUUUGAUGGACUAAAAUUAGUUUUAGCUUAAAAUUGCAAGGGCUUGUUUCGGAUAUAUCAAUAUUUGUUUCGACACUUUUUUUUCGUUCUCUAAUAAUUGGUAGUUGAGAAGUAUGUUUAAAAGUUUAUGAUGAUGACUAUAUUCGGCAUUUAAGUUAUUUUUCACAAUAAUACAUGUAGAAGUGCUUCAUCUAAAUAAAUUGCGUCUUCCGAUACCCUGCGAUGGUCCAAAAGUAGCUCAUGGAUUUGUUAGCAAAUACGAAUUACAGGAUUUUGAUUGGUGCAUGCACUUAAUAUAGGUUUACUGUGAGAUUAUACAUAUUUUUCUUACCGCUGUUUGUUUUAAAAAUUUGCAACAUUUUGAAAAUCUUUUAUAUUUUCUAUUUAAAAUGUUUUUGCAUCUCAAAUUGUAAAAUUGUAAAAAGUUUUGUGAAGUUUUCAAAUCAUCAUCGAUUUCUGAUUAGUAGGAACAUAGCAAUAUCAUGGGCUAAACUAAGUGGUUUUGUCAUUGGAAUCCACUAACUAGAGCAUACAAAUUCCACCGAUCUUCCGAAUCAAAGUGGAGUGAUUACUUUCUGAUAAAUUUGUCAUUUAUUAAAGUAUAAAAUAAAAUAUGAUAUUGUCGAAAUAUUAGAAACUCUAGAACAUUAAAGCAUAUUUUUAUUUAUGCCUAAAUUGCAUUUUAGAUGCUCGAACUUUUGAGGGACGGGCCACGCUCUCAUCUUUAAAUUUUAAUUUACUAUAAUUUUUUGCUCAAAAUUUUUAAGAUACUAUAAGUAUGUCUUAUGCUGCAAAUAUGAUAGUGCUGUAAUUAUUGAAAUACCACAUUCUUACUACAGUACUAAGGGACCGUUCGGAUAGAUGUAAUUACAAAUGCAGCAGCAGUGGUUGGCUGCAACUACAAAUAAUUUGUUUGGUUGUAUAUAGUUAAAAAAUAAUUUUUAAAAUUUUAUCGUUUUAUAUGCAUGAUGAUGAGAUUAUCUCCAACAUAAAAAAAUAUAUAUUUUUUGUUUAAAAAAUAAUUAAAGAUGUAAGCUUACCUUUUGCUUAAUGUUACUCUCUACAACUGCUAUAAUUGGAACUGCAGUCAAUUUGAACUCCUACUGCAGCAGCUGGAGUUAAAUAUAUCAAAUCAAACACCGAAUUUGUAUAUGUAUGUAAUUAUAACUGCAGUGCAGUUACAACUAUAUGCAACUAAAUGGCCCCUAAAAGCGAGAGACUAUAAACUAAAUUAUAAUAAUUCAGGCCAAAAUUAUUAAGCAUCAAAGUUUUGAGUACCAAACGUUAGAAUUUACCCAGCACUAGUACGUCAUCUAUGUUUAAGUAAUGGUGACAUCCCUAUAUAUAUCAGCAGAGAACCCCACCCAAUUGAGCGCCUCCUCCAUCGCCCUCAGAAGCGCCACGAGCUCCAGCGCUAACCCUAACCCUACCUCCUCGUCCUCGUCCUCCUCCCCCUCCCCACCAUUCCCGCUCCCCACUCCUCCGCCGCUCCUCCUCUCGCACAACUCGAACCUACAGAGCGGGCACCUCCCAUGGCUCCUCACCCAGGGGGCGACGCAGUCGCCGUGGAACACGUGAUCGCAGGGCGUGACGAGCACGCUCUCCCUCGCUGCGAAGGCCUCCAAGCAUAUCGUACACAUCCCUUCUCCCUCCUCCCCUUUACCCCCAUUACUACCCGACGACGACGACGACGACGACGCAGCCCCGCCUCUUCCCUCGCGGGGCUUCGUCUUCGUCUUCGUCUUCGUCGUCGUCUUCUUCUUUUUAGGGUUGUACACUUCUUUCUUGAGCUUCCCCAUCGCCGUUUUGAACUCCUCCUCCGUGAGCCCCGGCUCCUCCCCCGGGAGGUUCCACUCGCGCCGGAUCCGCGGCGGCGAAUUGGCGAGGAAUUCCCGGAGCCUAGGGUUUACCCCGCGGCCACCGGCGCCGUCGCCGUCGAGGACGCGCGCUGGUGCGUACGGUUGUGCCGGGAACCUGUUCGAUAGAUGUUCUGAGUGAAUCCAUUCAUUCCCACACUCGCAUAACAAACACAAGUGGCCACGGCACUCGGUUUGGUUUCAUUAAAAAAAAAAUGGUGGUUUUUUUAAUGAAAAUCUCUUUUUUCUCCAAAAGUAAUUAUUUAGAAUUUUUUGAGUAACCAAACAGUGAAACACGCUCCAAAUCAUUAAAAUUUAAUUUUUAUUUUACUUAUGUCAAAUUGACCCCAUUAAAUAUUAUUUAACUUUUUAUUGGGAGAUUCGAUAUAAAUAACUAAGAAAAAACUUCAAAAACCCUCAUGUGGUUUCUCACUUUAUCACUUUAGUACUCUGUGGUUUAAAGUGUUUCAAGUCAGUACCCUGUGGUUUCUCACUUUAUCACUUUAGUACCAUGUGGUUUAAAGUGUAUCAAGUUAGUACCAUGUGGGUGCACUUUAUCACUUUAGUAUUCUGUGGUUUCACACUUUAUCACUUUAGUACCUUAUAGUUUAAAAAACUACAGGAUACCAACUUAAUACGAAAUUAAAACCACAAGAUACUAAAGUGAUAAAGUGCAAAACCACAGGGUACUAACUUGAUACACUUUAAACCACAGGAUACUAAAGUGAUAAAGUAAGAAACCACAGGGUACUAACUUAAUACAUUUUAAACUACAGGAUACUAAAGUGGAAAAAUUGAAACCAUAAGAAGGGUUUUUGAAGUUUCCCCAAUAACUAAUUUAGUUGUCGUGCAAUUUCGUAGAGAGACUAUAGCUAAAUCAUUUGCUAAAUCAUCUCUUUUAAUAUAAUAUGUACUAUAAUCUUCAGUCUUAAAUAAAAAAGUUUGUAAGCUGAAUCAACCUUCACAUUAACAUAUCUAUGGUCAUCUCGUUAUUGAGAAUUUUUAUAUAUAUACAAAUUAUUUGUUCCAAACAGGCAUAACAAUAUCCAAUCCCAUCUGUCCAUAAUAAAAAUAUAAGUAGAAUACCUAGUGCAAAAAGAACUUUCUUGUGUGAAAGAGGGAUCAACAAUGACCCCAUGUGCGAUAGAUUUUUAUACCUUGCUAGCUCGUAAGGCCCGCUCCUUACUCUCCCCUCGAAGAGUCUCCACGGGUGUAAAUCCCUAUCAUCUUCUUCCUGAGUAAUACGUCAAAAGCAAUCACCCUUUUUUUUUUUUACACUUUGAAUUGAAUUCCUAUUUAUGAUACUUUACAUAUACAAAUCCUAGUUGUGUAAAUAAACUUUGUGGCCUUAAAAAAAGUAAAAAAAAAAGAAGAAAAAAAGGUCGAGGAGUUAUGGAGGCUUCACCAUUCUGUGGUAGAGACUCCGUGGAACCCUUACUGCCCAAUUUUGGUGGCCCUGAUGGUUAGGCGAGGCCGGUCGAUGCUCAUCGCCUGGCCUCCGGCUCUCCGGGCGGGCCAAGGCCAGGCUGCGGGUCAAGACGGGGCUGUUCGAGCUCAUCGCUCCGGGCCUCCGGCUCUCCGGGCGGGCCAAGACGAGGCUGUUCGAGCUCAUCGUUCGCCGCAGCUUCGACUCAUAAAAAUGUAGGCAAUGGGGAGUUCUAUAUAAGGGACUGGAUGUUCCAUUGAAGUUGUUCUUAUCCUUUGAGCAUAGAAUCUACCUUUCACAGAGUAGCAGAUGCUUCAACACAAAAAGUAUCAGAUCAGAUGCUCUGGAGGGACACUUGAAGGCAGACUAAUGGCGAAGCGAAAAAAGAAAGGAUUCUGCUUUCGAUGGUGGUCUUUCUUUUCGCCGAGAGGGUGGUGGUCUUUCUUUUCGCCGAGAGGGAUCGGAUUCGGCUUAGUGCAGCCCACCUAAUACACCGGAUUUAGAUUGUUCUUAUGCGAGAUCGUGCUAUCGACAAAAAAGGUAUAUUAAACUAGUCAAAUCUAUUGCAUGAAUGAUAAUCAGGUUCAGUAUUUCUGUUCCGAUUACGAACGUUUUCGCAACAAUCAUGUUCACUUUUAGGCCCUCGCCCUCUCGGCCAAAUCUUUUAGCUAGAGUUGAUCGGAGUGCAUGAAAACAGAAAUGGAAAAGUCUGUCAACAUGACAAUCCAUCUAGCAUGUUGAUUGCACAAAUUUGUUCAUCCAAUAUUUUGGCAUCAAUGCCAAGCACACCACAUCCUUCAUUUUGCCAUUUAAUUUAACACUGUGCAAUUAUCAUACACCAACAAUUUCUUCAGGACAAUGAAGCCAGGGCAGAAUCAAACGAGUUUUGAAAUUUGAUACGACAAUAAAAAUGAUCAUACUAAUUACCUUAAACAAUCAGCCAUACGUACAAUGGUUGAAUGUGAAAUUGAAAAAAAAGGGGGAAAAAAUAAUAAGUGCAACAAUAGGGAAAUACAGCAAGAAUCUUGUGCAUCAUUCCUGCAAAAUAAUUUUUUUUUUUCGAUCCUACAACCUAAUCAAAUGUAGAAAACCCUGGACGCGAUUGCGCGAUUGCAUGCACCUUCUUCAAUUGGAGGAAGAGAGGGUAAGUUUAAGGAAUUAAGCAAUGCAAAACUCCAUGGAGGAAGAGAGGGUAAGUUUGAGGAUAAGUUUUCCCUACUGAAGAAGUUGGUCUACACUUGAUACUUGCAGAGGUUUUCAAAUCCCAUGUACUCGUUGUGCUCGAUCUUCUUGAUUAUGUUAGAGAUACCAACUCCACCUGUUGAUUAAAGAGUUUUAAAGAGUUAUGGUAGCAGAAUAUCACAAGCAACUCUAGAGAGAGAGAGAGAGAGAGAGAGAGAGAGAGAGAGAUACCAAGUGAAAUUGCACUGACAAAGAUUGUGAAAGCCAAUAUGAAGAUGAUGAGUGAUGCCCUCCCCAUCAAAAUGAUCAGUUUCCGGACCACAUGCUGGCCAAUGAAGGCGGCGACGGUCCCCACGGCAAUCAAGUAAAUUGCUGCAACCGAAAGAAAAUCAUCCUAAUUUAUAUUCUUCUACAUAAAAUGAAAGAGCCAUCCAGGAACAACCAUCUAGCUCAAUUGAAUGACCAGGGUAAAAAGUAAAAGCGACAAAAGAAAUGAAAAGGAUGGACUAUAAUACCGUAUGGGACGGGAAAACGUUUUAGGAGGUAGUAUUCUACAACGGACAUCGACGAGGAAAAUGUCAUGGCGAAGGUUGCGGUAGCACUCGAUACCUGCAGGAAAUUUUCAGAGUUUCAAAUGCCAGUUAACAAGAUCACCAAUACACAGAGGCUGAAUACAAAAUCUAGAAGGAAACAGAUUUGAGUAAAAGGGAAAUGCAACAAAAGAGAAAAAUUAUUUGUGUGUUUUUAAUAGCAAAGAGUAGGUGUUAUCAGUUAAUAAGUACCUGUGGGGGGAUACCCAGCUCCAAAAAGAGUGGACCCAUAAUAAAUCCUCCCCCUAGACCAAGAAGACCCCCAACAACACCAGCAGUGACACCACAUAGACAAUAAAUAAACAGCUGAUGAACUUUCCAGUUAGUCCCUUCGUCCCCUUUAGAUGCUAUUACUCUCCUUCCUUGAUAUAAGCUUGUUGCUUCGUAUAAGGUUACUCCGACGGAGACUGGGACCUGUUGAAAAUGGCAUGUCGAUCAAUAAAACUUAUUUUUCCAAACCCAUGGAUCACUUAAGGUAUCGUUUGGUUCGAAAAUAAGCAAAAAAUGGCUAUUCCAAGAAUAGGUAUAAAUUGAGAUAUAAACGGAGAUUAGAUUAAUUUUGCGUUUGAAUGAAAAUUAGGUUAUUUCUGAAAAUAAAAAAAAUAACGUUUGGUUAGGUAAGAUGAAUAAAAAAAGAUAGCGGAUUUUUAUAAAUAAAAAAUAAUGAUAUUACCCUCUUAUUAUAUUUGAAUUUGAAUUUUUAAAUUUAAAAUUUUAACUUUGAAAUUUCAAAACUUGAAAUUAAAAUUUUAAAUUUUAAAUAUCAAAUUUUAAAUUUCAAAAUUUUAAAAUAUCAAAAUUUAAAUUUAAAAUUUAAAACUUAUAAUUUAAAAUAUAUUAACUUAUUUAGAUAUUACCAAAUUAUAAAUUUUAAAAUUUAAAUUUUAAUUUUUAAAUUUUAAAAUAAGAAUAGGGGUGGGAACAAUUAAUAAAAAUAAUUUAUUAUAAUAAAUUUAUAAAUUUUUUUAAAAUUCUACGUAAACUUAAAUUUAAUAAAAAGAAUUUAUUAUAAUAUUUAAAUAUAAAUAAUACGUAUUAAUAUAGUACAAUUAAUAAUUUUAUAAUAAAAAUUAUGUAUUAUAAUAUAUAACAUAUUAUAUUUAUAUAAUUUAGUUUUAAUUCAAUUUAUAAUUUUAAUUAAGUUUGAAAUUAAGUAUUGGAAUAGUACUAUUCCACCAAAAUGGUGGAAUAGUAAAUUCCUUGCUAUUCCAGGAUAACCGUGAAUAGCAAAAUUUGAUCGGGAUAAAAUAUCCCGGUAAAAUAUCAUCCCGUUUGGCGGAAUAACGGGGAUAACUUUCGUUAUCCCCGCUUAUUUUCCGAAUCAAAUGGCGCCUAACGGCCUAAGGAUCUAAUCAUCCCAGAUGGUAUAGAAGUGAUUUUUGCGAAGAGCUAUUCCAAAAGACGCUUAUAGUCUUUUCGCUAAAAUCAUCCUCUUACAGCUUCCAACCAAAGGCCAAAGCAGAAACUCUGAACUAGAGCUUCUGUUUUUGGGGUCCAAAACCUCAUUAUGGCUUCCCACCACUGCACAAUCAUAUUCUUACGGCAUCUCAAGGUUAAUUUUGUUGUUCCGGAAGCCUCAGCAAACAGGUGUUAAAAAAUUUAAACAAGGAUUGGCCAACUGUAGUACCUGAAGCAAGUUAAUAACCCAAUACCAUGUGGAGCAUGUUGGUGUGUAGUUCUGCAUGUAUUAUAACCCAUGUGAAUAUCCUCUAACAUAAUCUAAGUAGCCGAAGAAAUUAUUUAAAAUCACCACAAAAGUAACUUACCUUUGCAACCUGCAAUACAAGGAAUGCCAUCCACACAAAGACAAGAAGACCAAGCUCCUUCCAGCAUACAUUCUCUAGUAUUGGGACCUGUGAGACUUAAAAUAUUAGCCUUCUAAUCUUUGAGUCAUGACAAUUUAAUUUAAGGAAUGUUUGGCACAGCUAGACUUUUGCAGAAGUUUUGAUUGAGUUGAGCUUUUCAAAAAUGCACCAGCAUCUUCAUUAAAAUCCACUUAGGGACCGUUUGGUUAGAUGUAAUUAUAAAUGUAGUGUAGUUAAAAAUGCAUGCAGUUGAAAAUGUAGCAGUUACAACUACAUGUAUCUUGUUUGGUUGGAUGUAGUAGAAAGCGCUGAAAGUAUAAAUAAUUUAUUUGGCUGCAUGCAGUUGAGAAAUAAUUUUUAAAAUUUUAUAAUUUUAUAUAUAUAAUGGUGAGAUUACCUACAAUGUGAAAAAAAAAUAAGUUUUGUUUAAAAAAUAAUUGAGCAAGUAAGCAUACCUUUUAUUUAAAAUUACUCUCUCCAACUGCUGCAGUUGGAACUACGGCCAAUUUGGGCGUAGUUCGAACUGCUGCAGUUGGGCCUCCUCAUGCAGUUUUUACUGCAGCAGUUAAAUUUAAAUACAUCAAACCAAACACCGAAUUUGUAUUUGCAUACAGUUACAACUGCAGUGCAGUUGCAACUACAUGCAACCAAACGGCCUCAAAGAAACUUCAAAUUGAAGCUUCUAUCUCUAGGACCUAGAAGCUCCUCACUUCAGCCUCUUGCUGCAGCAGAAGCACCGAGUUUUUGGUUUGGCAAACAUCUGGCAGGUGCUUUUUGAGAGUAGAGACUAGAGAAGCGGUUUCAGCAGUCCAGUAAAAUGCAUAGAUAUUCUCUCAUGUUACCUCUCGGUCGCCAUUCAUCUUAGUCACGUUUCGCUCACCAUUGCCUGGACCAGAAGGACCAGAAGGAAGUGGUUGGUAUUCCACUUCACUCGCCCGACCUGCAAAAUAAGUAUCACAAAAAUGAUCAAAUGUUUCUGUUACUGAGAGGAAAUGACAGUCGGAAUAAUUUGAUUAUAUUUUGCAUGCUUACCACUCGAUUCUAAGCGUUUGGCGGUCUCCUGAGAUGAGCAACCAACAUGAAGUAAAAUUAACAUCAAAUUAGAGCUAAGGAGUCGGUCGAUAAUGAGAUGAUGAUUAGAGCGAGAAGAACAUUACCUUCUUGAUAAUUGUCUCUUUCUUCCAACUCUCCACACCCUUCAUAAAUGCCUUAAUUGAUGUGCCUACAAUGUGUUACUAAAUUAAGUACAGAGAGUUUAUUUAAUCGUAACAAGAUCAGAAACAUCACAUUUUCAAACGACCGAAAAUACCUAAGAAGAGGAUGAUCAGAAGCACGGUGACCAUCCAGUCGGGAAAUAUUACAUUAAAUAUGACACCGAGGCUGAUUCCGAGCAUAAGCAUGGGUUGGACAAGUAAUGCCAAGUCGUAAUCGAUAAUUGGCAUAUCCAAAGUUGGAUGCCUCAGCUUGAGAUUGUAGUAAACGGUCGAUGCGGCUGCACCCAUGAUCAUACCUGGCCAAAGAGUGCAAGAUCAGGAUUUGAUCUCAGCUAUUAAAUUGUACGCAUUUUCUUCUGUUUAAACGUUUGAAUCAACACAACCAACAUGAAAAAGGAAAUAAAGAACAUAACUAACAAUACAUGAUGAUCGCAAGAAAUAAGAAAAAUGUUAAAAGUUACCUUGCAGUUUACUUUGCUUUCAGAAAUUUGCAGGUAGUAUUAACUAUUAACAGAGCUUAACAUUUUCGUUGAACAGAAAAAAAACAUAUGGAAUAUUCCUUUCAGAUAAUUGAAUUUUUCAUUCGAUUAUGGCAUGUUUUGUUGAAAUAAGUUUUAAAAAAUACUGUCAAGUUCAUAAUUAAAUGAAAACAACAGUACAGUUAAAUAGUAGAAUCAAAAUUGUAAACUUCAAAAAUCAAUUUCAAAAUAUGCAGUAGUUACCGACCGUCCCUAGAGCAAGUGGCAAAGAGCUUGGUGGUUGGUACCCGAGACCCAAGUUCGAAUUCUAGUUGAUUCACAUUUCUAGCUAAGUUUAUUUCUAAAUGGAAUAAAUGAAGCGGAUAGCGUGCUAUCUACCUCUCAAAAAAAAAAAAAAAUGCAGUAGUUUAAGUAAUAUCUACACAUAACCCAAAACCCAGUGUUUGAUUUAUUCUAAAUCUAAGCAUAUCCCCUCUAUUCCUUAACAAACUUUAAUCCCACACAACUCAGGAAAUUGCAACAAUUAAUAAAUGCAGGAAAUUAAGAGAUUAAGACAGGGAAAAGAAUACAAAAAGUGGGUCAUAGUUGCAAUAAAAGCAGAGAUUGUACUAAAGAGGUGCUUCAGUUGAAAACAUGACACUUUACCAAGGUAAUUGUUGAGAUUGAUAUAUUUCUCAAAAAUUACGGUUGCUUCAGCUUAACUAAAUAUUAUAUCAAACAUAUAUAUUUUAUUAAUAAUUAUCCCAAUACUAUAUGUAAUUGUACACUUACUAACAAAAUCAAAGAUUCCAAGAUAGUAGGAAUAUUCAUUAAAUUAAAAAUGCCAUGGCAAAUAAAGUGACCCUUCUCAAACUAGUGGUAAACUUCAAUUUAUUAUUCUGUGGUUUAGCAUGUUUCCACUUUACCAUUUUAUAAUUUAAAAAAUUAUAGUUAACUACCAUUUGGCUUUAUUUUUGUUUCGAUAUCAGUCCAGCUAUAAUUUAUAAAAUAAAAUAAUAAAAUAAUAUCAUUUGCAAAAAGUAUCGCUUUGCCAUCCUAUUUAAUAAACAGGGCAAUUACUUAUAUACCUUGAAAAGUUUUCGUCUUUCUGAUUUAUCUCUUUUAGAAGGCUAAUAUUAAAAAUAUUUUUUUAAUGUUUCAAGUUAUUUCAAAUAUACUGGUAGAAUUAAAUUCUAUUAGUGAGCUGUUAGCAACAACCUUUAUCUCUAUAAAAUUACUAUUUUACUCUUUCAAAUAUUCUACUACUGUUACCUACUUUUAUUAUCCCUAUAGAGACAAAAGAAGUAUUUUAAUUUUUUGUCUUUUCAAUAUACCUUUCUACCUUUACCGGCUUUUCUUAUUUAUCCUUAAAAGAAGUAUUUUAAUUUUUUUUAACUUAGAUAAAAAUUUAAUCCGGAUUUAAUCAAAGAGUAAGGAUUUUUUUCAGAGGCAUAAUAAAGAAUAAAACUAUAAAAUAAUUAAGAGAUUUUACCCCAAAAACUAAAAUGGUGAGCAUAAUAAGAAAUUGAAAUAAGAGCUUACAUUUUGAUAAUGCGGUAGAGGAUUUGGGAUCGAAUCCGAUAAUCAAAGUAAGCAUGGGAACGAAAAUCCCUCCACCACCGACUCCUCCCACGCUCCCAAACGCCGCUCCCAUGAAUCCGAUCACGGAUCCCAACACGAUCCUCCACCCAAAUUCCAUAGGCUAUUUUCGAAUUCAAAUCAAAAAAACGCAAACAAAUUCAUCUCAAAUCAAAUUCAAAUCCAAUUUUCAUCAACCAAAAAAAAAAAAAAAUCUGAUUAAAUUUACCGGCCAAACGUGUUGGUACGAGGAUCCAUCGGAUCGCCACAGAAAAUCGGCGAGCCGGAGGAAGUAAUCGGGGACGAUCGAGCCGCUUCUAGAAGCUUCUCCCGAGGCUUCGACUUCGGAUCGGCGAUCCGCGGACGCGAUCGCCGAGGCGAAGAGGAGGCUCAUCCCCACCGCCGCCGCCGCCGCCGCCGCCGAGGAAUCCGAUCUCCGACACCAUUUCCUCGCCAUGCGCCGCGAAAAAGAAAAAAUCGGGAAAUGAUCGCGCGAUCCCGAGCCCGAGCGCGUAGGGCAAAGAGACGAGGAGGAAGAGGGAGCGAAGCGCCGAUCAAAUCGGGGCCAAAUUUAGGAUCGGGGGAGACGACGACGAAGAAAUAGAGGAAGGGGGAAACCGUAUCGGCGAUAUAUCGGCCGAUAUUCGGCGAUUUAUCGGGGGAUAAUAACGUUUCGGAAUCGGCGCGUCGGAACGCGAAACCCGCUACGUGAUCGGGAUCUCAAUAAUGAAUAAACACUAGAACAUGGAAGCGGGAUCGCCGCUUUAUAUGAUCUAUAUAUAGAGUGGGACCUCUUUACGAAAAUGCCCUUGAUGUUUUGCGUAAUUACGAUUUUGGGACAGAGGAAGUGCAUGUGCGGUGGACCUGCGUUACCUGCGUAUGCGGGUACGCGGUGAUAAGUAGCGGUUCGUAUCAGAGAUUGGAUGGGGUGCAAUAAUUUGGGGAGUAUUUUUUGCUUUCUAGCGCCUAACCUUUCGGAUAUUACAAAUCAGUCCAUCAAUUUUUUUGUAAACAAUACUAUAUCGCCUCAAACUAUGUUAGUCUAUUUAAAAAAAGAAAAAACUUUAAAUACCACCCCUAUGGUUUCACGCUUUCUCACUUUAGUACCCUAUGGUUUAAAAUGUAUCAAUUUAGUGCCAUAUGGUUUCUUUUUUAUCUUUUUAUUAUCGAUUUCAUUAAUUUUUUCGUUAAAUUAUUGACAAAGUUAAAACUAAAGGUACUAAAUUGAAUAUUCCGUAAAUUUAGGUAGGAUAUCUGAAGUUUUUUUUUAUAUAAUUUAACAAAAUAUUAACGAAAAAACUGACGAAAAGAUAAAAAUAAAACCACAUGAUACUAACUUGAUACACUUUAAACCACAUAGUACUAAAAUGAGAAAGUGAGAAAUUACAUGAGUGAUAUUUGAAGUUUACCCUUAAAAAAAAAAGGAAAUUUUAGUUUAAUACAUUUUUUUACUUUACUACCUCAUAGCUAAAAAAAAUGGUUAAUUUAAUACAGAUUCCUGUAAAUAUAGUGAAUGGUAAAUAUAUCCCUACAAAGUUUAACUUUUAUAUAUUGUUCUUGCAAUCAUAAAUAUGCCCCAUCAAAAAUCACAACAGUAUAAUAUAAGAGGGGUAAAAAUAUUAAAAUCUAAUCAAAAUUAAAUAUUUAAUAUAUGGUUAACUAAAUAUUUUUAACGGAUUCUAAUAAUAGGAAUAUAUUUGAAGAUAUUAGGACUUUUGCAGAGACAAAUGAAAGUUGAAUUUUACAAGAAUAUAUUUACCAUUCAAUAUGUUUGCAGAGAUCUAUAUGAAAUUAAUCCAAAAAAAUUGUAUCUAACUACCAUGUGAAUUUAUUUUUAUUUCACUAAAAAAAUAUGUUGGAAAUAAAAUAGUAAAGUAAAAUUUUCUAAAAAUUAUAAGUUUGUACUCUAUUUACCAAUACGUCUUUACAGAGAAAUAAAAAUAAAAUGACUUAAUAGCCAACUAUAGUUUUUUGGAUUACAGAAUAAUAAAAUAAAAAUAUAUUAAACCACAACAAGACGUUUUAAACUGUAUACUUAUGUAUUAAUUAAUUUAAUUUGGUCUUACAAAAUUAAAGGGUCCUUAAAUACCAAGCUGGCUCUAAAUGUAAUUAAUUUGAUGAGUACAUCAUCAAUAUUGGUUAUACCAACCAAACCAUUAAUAAGGAUAAAUGAAGUAUUUUAAUUUGAGUAUUUUACAAGAAAAGAAAAGUACAUACAAAGUGUCACAUCAUUAAGGUCAAUUUAAUGAUUUUUUAAAAUUUUUAUAAAAUAUUUAAGAAUAAAAAAUAGAGCCGUAUUAAUUUCAACCACUUAUAUUACUCCUUCACUUUGUGAUAGAUACUGGAGUGGGUAAGCUUUUUAAAAAAGGGUCACAAAAGCAAAAUAAAAGAAAAUUCUAUAACAUUUGAGAAAAAAAAAAAAAAAGAGGAGCCUUUUUUGCAUUAAAAAGUUUUAUAUUUUUGUAAAAUUUAGAAUACUUUGUAAAAAUUAUACAGAUUUGAUCCAAAUUUAUAAAAUAUACAAUAAAUUAAUUUUUAUUAGAAAAAAAUUUGCAUGAAAAAUCUAUUCCUUUACUCUACAUACAGCGAAUCUUACCUGAAUUCGGAUCUAUAAAUAAAAAUUUAAAAUUAUUUUUUUUAAAUAUAUGCAAAAAUUAAUUUUAACCACACGUUAUUUGAUAACUCUCUCUUAUUAUUUUUCGUGGAUAGUAGCAGUACUAUGUUUGCGUUUUUGGAUCGUACACUUAUCUUUCGCCCACACAUGGAAGACCACGUGCACAGUACAUGUUGCACGUGCAAUACAUUAAAAAAUCUCGUUAAUUAUUUUAUAUUUGUGACAUAAUUUAAAAUAAUUUUUUAUAUAAAACUUAAUAGAAUAGAAUGGCCAAUUUGCAUAAAAAAUUCACUUAUUUUGGGCUUUUGCAAAACCGGGCUACUUUUUUCGUUUUUGCAGAUUCGGUCAGCUUUUUUAGCAAACUGACCAAAAUACUCUUAUUACUUUUUCUCUUUCCUCUUUCUCUCUCUUCUUCGCUUCUCUCGUUCUUUUUUUUUUUCUCGCCGGCAGAGCGGAGAGGCAGAAACGAUCUGUCUCGCCUCUCAUCCUCAUGCUCUCGCCCUCGCCCUUGCCCUCGUCCAUGUACCCCCCACCUUCCUCGCCUCCGAACCCGCCAAGGCCGCGCCGCGACUUUUUUUUUUUUUUUCCUUUUUUUUUUUUUUUUUCUUUUCCGACUCUUCUUCACCGUUUCCGACGAUGACGCCUCUCGCCCUUCCCCGCCUUUCUCAUCUCUCCCUCUCCCUCAUUUUCUGCCGUCUCCGACGACGAUUUAUUUUGGCCGGUGCCGACGUCGACACCGUAAAGGUCACUGCGGCGCUACAGCCUCGGAGCGGGGGGUCCUUAGCGGAGUCGUCACCGGCGCCGUAACUGUUGGUAGAGAAUGUGACAAAAAAAAUUAUAGAAAAAACAGAAAAAAAAAUAAAGAUAAAAAAUUAUAUAAAAAGAAGGAUGAAGAUGAAAUUGUAUUGUUAAUUACAAAAAAAACUAUAAGUUGCACUAUUUAAGAUGUAAACUGCUGCUUUAAUAUAAAAAUUAUAUUCUUUGAACGAAAAUUAUACUAUUUUUUAUCUUAAACUGCAUCCUUUUAAGUGAUAUUUAUACUGUUUCUUCUCUUGUUGCACUGUGUCUCCUCUUGUUGCACUGUUUCUCCUCUUAUUGUACUAUUUCUCCUCUUGUUUACACAGAAAUGGUGCAACAAGAGGAGAAACAGUGCAACAAGAGGAGAAACAGUAUAAACAUCUCUUAAAAGGGUGCAGUUUCUUCUUUUAUUGCAUUAUUUCUCCUCUUGUUGCACUAUUUCUCCUAUUGUUUACACAAAAAUAGUGCAACAAUAGAAGAAACAGUGCAACAAGAGAAGAAACAGUAGAUAUAUUUCUUAAAACAGUGCAGUUUCUCCUCUUGUUGCACUAUUUCUCCUAUUGUUUACACAAAAAUAGUGCAACAAUAGAAGAAACAGUGCAACAAGAGAAGAAACAGUAGAUAUAUUUCUUAAAACAGUGCAGUUUCUCCUCUUGUUGCACUAUUUCUCCUCUUGUUUACAUAGAAAUGGUGCAACAAGAGGAGAAACAGUAUAUAUAUCUCUUAAAAUAGUGCAGUUUCUCCUCUUGUUGCACUGUUUCUCCUCUUGUUGCACUAUUUUUUUUCUUGUUUACACAGAAAUGGUGUAACAAGAGGAGAAACAGUGCAACAAGAGGAGAAAUAGUAUAAAUAUCUCUUAAAAUGGUGCAGUUUAAGAUAAAAAAUAGUGUAACAAGAGAAAAAAUGGUGCAACAAGAGAAGAAACAGUGCAACUUUUGUUUAAAGAGUGUUACUUUCAUCUUAAUGGAUGCAGUUUACAUCUGAAAGAGUGUAAUAAGAAGAGAAACAGUAUAAAUAUAUCUCAAAAAGUAUAAUUUUCGUUUAAAGAGUGUAGUUUUCAUCUUAAAGCUGCAGUUUACAUCUUAAGUAGUGCAACUUAUAAUUUUUUUUGCAGUUAACGAUGCAAUUUCAUAUUCAUCCUUCUUUUUAUAUAAUUUUUUAUCUUUAUUUUUUUCUGUUUUUUCUAUAAUUUUUUUUUGUCACCCUCUCUGCCAACAGCCACGGUGCCGGCAACGACGCCGCUAAGGACCCCCGCUCCGAGCCUGUAGCACCGCAGUGACCUCCACGGUGUCGACGNUUCUUUGAACGAAAAUUAUACUAUUUUUUAUCUUAAACUGCAUCAUUUUAAGUGAUAUUUAUACUGUUUCUCCUCUUGUUGCACUGUUUCUCCUCUUAUUGUACUAUUUCUCCUCUUGUUUACACAGAAAUGGUGCAACAAGAGGAGAAACAGUGCAACAAGAGGAGAAACAGUAUAAACAUCUCUUAAAAGGGUGCAGUUUCUUCUUUUAUUGCAUUAUUUCUCCUCUUGUUGCACUAUUUCUCCUAUUGUUUACACAAAAAUAGUGCAACAAUAGAAGAAACAGUGCAACAAGAGAAGAAACAGUAGAUAUAUUUCUUAAAACAGUGCAGUUUCUCCUCUUGUUGCACUAUUUCUCCUCUUGUUUACAUAGAAAUGGUGCAACAAGAGGAGAAACAGUAUAUAUAUCUCUUAAAAUAGUGCAGUUUCUCCUCUUGUUGCACUGUUUCUCCUCUUGUUGCACUAUUUUUUUUCUUGUUUACACAGAAAUGGUGUAACAAGAGGAGAAACAGUGCAACAAGAGGAGAAAUAGUAUAAAUAUCUCUUAAAAUGGUGCAGUUUAAGAUAAAAAAUAGUGUAACAAGAGAAAAAAUGGUGCAACAAGAGAAGAAACAGUGCAACUUUUGUUUAAAGAGUGUUACUUUCAUCUUAAUGGAUGCAGUUUACAUCUGAAAGAGUGUAAUAAGAAGAGAAACAGUAUAAAUAUAUCUCAAAAAGUAUAAUUUUCGUUUAAAGAGUGUAGUUUUCAUCUUAAAGCUGCAGUUUACAUCUUAAGUAGUGCAACUUAUAAUUUUUUUUGCAGUUAACGAUGCAAUUUCAUAUUCAUCCUUCUUUUUAUAUAAUUUUUUAUCUUUAUUUUUUUCUGUUUUUUCUAUAAUUUUUUUUUGUCACCCUCUCUGCCAACAGCCACGGUGCCGGCAACGACGCCGCUAAGGACCCCCGCUCCGAGCCUGUAGCACCGCAGUGACCUCCACGGUGUCGACGUCGACGUCGGCGCCGGCGAAGAUGCAUCGUCGUCGGAGGCGGCAGAGAAUGAGAGAGAGGGAGAGAUGAAAAUGGCGGGGAAGGACGAGAGAGGCGUCGUCGUCGGAGACGGUGGAGAAGAGUCGAAGAAGAAAAGAAAAGAAAAAAGCAAAAAAAAAAAAGUCGCGGCGCGGCCUUGGUGGGGUUGGAGGCAAGGAAGGUGGGGGGUGCAUGGACGAGGGCAAGAGCAAGGGCGAGGGCGAGAGAAUGAGGGUGAGAGGCGAGACGGACCGUUUCCGCCUCCGCUUUGCCGGCGAGAAAAAAAAAAGAACGAGAGAAACGAAGAGGAGAGAGAAAGAGGAAAGAGAAAAAGUAAAAAAGGUAUUUUGGUCAGUUUGCUGAAAAAGCGGACCGAAUCUGCAAAAACGAAAAAGGUGGCCCGGUUUUGCAAAAACCUAAAAUAAGUGGAUUUUUUAUGCAAAUUGGCCAUUAAACUAUUUAAUUUAGUUAUAGUAUUUUGAAUGAUAGUUAGUCUCAAAAAAUUUUAAAAAUUAAGUAUGAUAAAAUUAGAAUAAUUAUGCAAUAGCUAUUCUCUGCGAUCUUUCGGUUUUUCAAAAUAAUAAUAAUAAUAAUAUCAGGUCACGCUGGCUAACUAAGAUUAAUUUUCACUAUUCCAUGGAUGAUGAAAAAAAAAAUUUCUUUACAAAUUUAUAUUAUUAUGUUGCUAUCAACGCCAUCAACAUCAAUUAUUUUCAACUACACUACAAAUUUUUUUAUAUAAAACUUAAUAGAAUUAAACUAUUUAAUUUAGUUACAGCAUUUUGAAUGAUAGUUAGGCUCAAAAAAAUUUAAAAAAUUAAGUAUGAUAAAAUUAGAAUAAUUAUGCAAUAGAUGAUCCUCUGCGGUCUUUCUUCCUUUCAAAAAAAUAAAUAAUUAUAAUAUCAGGUCACGCUAGCUAAUUAAGAUUAAUUUUCACUUCUCCAUGGAUGAUGCAAAAUUUUUUUUCUUUACAAAUUUAUAUUAUUAUGUUGCUAUCAACGCCAUCAACAUCAAUUAUUUUCAACUACGCUACAAUGAUGAGUAAAUUAAAACACGUAAGCUUGUACUACUAGAUUAGCUGAAAAUUUUGGAUAUAGUUUUUGCAAUUUCUUGUGCAAAAGUUUUCUACUCACCACUUGAUCUUAUCCAUCAGUUGAAAACAAGAUUGGUUCUAAACCAAAAAAGAAAAAAAAAAAAAAUCCAACGCUGUGAUUCCAUUACUUGGGGUACAUACAUAGAAAUUUUUAGCAUACUCUUUACUAACUAAAAAUACUGUAAAAAGAAAAAAAAAUGGAAAACCCUCCUCACACCUGUAGGCCAUUGUAAAAGAAGAAUGCUACAGUGGGUAUACGUUAUAUUUUUUUCAUCCAAGAAUUAUUUUUUUUUACUUAUCACAUUAAUUUUUUUAAAUAAAAAUUUUUAAAAUUUUUGUAAACUCUAGGGUGGAAGUUCAAGAUGUACACCUCUUUUUGGAGUCUACAAAUAGAAUUUUUUAUUGUAAAAAAAAUAUAUCAAUAAACUCUAAAGUAUGAUGUACAUCUUAUAUCUUUUUUAUUAAAAAACUAAUAUUUCUUACUUAUCACAUCAAAUUUUUCUUUAAAUUUUUGUAAACCCUAAGUUGGAGGCUGUAAGAUUAAUACUCUUUUUUUGGCGUGUACAAAUAGAAUAUUCUAUAGUAAAUAAGCAAAGUUAUCUGUACACGUAUAAUUUAGGUAUAAGAUAUACAUUCUAGCCAACCUACGGCUAGAAUCAACUCACUUGUCUUAUCAUUUUCUUUCAACUAAAAUUUAAAAGAAUUUUUUUAAACUUCAGGAUGGAUGGAGAUAAGAUAUAUACCGCUGCAUAGGGUGGGUGCGCAAUUAGCAAUAUUUUUUAAUAAAAUACAUGCCUCAAAUUUAUUAUUUAUUUCUUUUGAACAGCCAGCUCACCAUAUUCUUCCUCUUAUUUUUAUCUUUUUUGAAAAAAAAAUUGACACCCAACAGUGCUGUUGUACCUUUUCUAAUUAUUAAUUCCAUUUCUUAAGAGAAAUUAUCCAAAUUUUAUUGCUUGGAAUGAUAACCUCCAUGCUAGGGGUGGCAAUCCAGCUCGCUGUUCGCAAACCAGCUCGUGUUCGGCUCGAAAUGAGCUCGAGAUCAAAUCGCUCGUUUAGUAAACGAGCCGAACACGAGNUUUAUAUUUUUAUAUAUAAAUAUAUAAUUAUAUAUAAUAUAUAUUUUUAUUAUUUAAUUUUUAGCAAAAGAAAAUUAUAAAUGCGAGCUUAAUUAUAAAAAGACUCAUUUGUAUGUAAAGUUUCAACUAUUAGAUUAAAGUCUAAUGAAUAAAAUUUUAUAAAUUUAAUUUUUUUAUAUAUAUUCAAUCUAAUUCUUUUUAACUUAUUGUUUGUUGGUCAGCUCGUGAGCCAGUUCGUAUUCGGCUCGUUUAUUAACGAGUGGAACACGAGCUGAAUUUUUGGCUCGAUCCUUUAACGAGCCAACUCGUGUUCGGCUCGUUUAUUAAACGAGCUGAAUAUGAGCCGGCCCUAGCUCGCUCGUGUUCGGCUCUUUUACACCCCUACUCCAUGCAGGAAUACUGGUUUCAGCUCUGCCUUUUCAUUAUUUUUGGGUCAUGCAUGUUUCAGCAUCAAUAACUUUUAAUACUCUUUUGCUUCACCAGAGAGACAAAAUAAAAUAAUGAGGCUCAAAAACAAGAACCUAAACCUUAUGCUAUCAAAAAUAUUAAAGUUAUUUUAUAAUUGUAUUUUGCUUUUUUUUUUAACAAUACAAUUGAGAAAUAGUUUUUAAAUAAAAUUAUAGCAGCUCUUUCUCUCUUGAUACAAUUUUAUUUGACGCUUUAAUAGUUCCACAUCAGAUAACAUGAAUAUGUGUGAGAAAUUUAUGUGUAGCUGUAUAGCAUAUUAUUAGCUAAUAACUGAAUUUAAAUAUUUUGUAUUAAUAUUUUAGACUCGACAAGUUAUCAGUGUUGGUGGACAGAGUCAUCACAUGCAGUCUCUCUCUCUCUCUCUCUCUCUCUCUCUGUGUUUGGUUGCUGUAUCCACAUCAGCAAAAACUGACAAUCAAUCUUAGUUGCCAAGGGGAUAGGAAAGGACAACAAGUGAUGAAGACUUACACAUGUACAAAGACCAAACCCUAGCUUAGUGGCUGCUUCCCUUUGGACCAGUUUCUAGGAAAAAGAGGAGGUAGUUGGAAUGUUGAUCUUGAACUCUGUAGGCACUUUUAAUGGGGCUCCUCAAUUCACAAACCAUGUGUUCCACAUGGAAAGAGAAUCAAUUGGGCCCUCAACUUUAGACCAAGUGAUCAAAAAGGGUCCCAGUAAGGAAAUACUUUAGAUUCUUUUUAGAUGAAUAUCUUAUAUAUGCUACUGAUAUAGUCACAAUUGAUAUUGCAUGAGUUAAUCAAUUAAAUUUCUUUACAUUAUAGUACCAGCACAUUAGCAUUAUUAAUAUAUAAAGAUAAUAUUUGAUAAUUUUGUAGCAGUACCUCGCAAUAUAGAGUUUCUAUGUGAUCUGAUAAUGUACUGAUUAAUUUAUAUAAUAUUUUAAAGGCCAAUUUGUAUAAAAAAAUCCACUAAUUUUAUGUUUUUGCAAAAGUGGGCCACCUUUUUAGUUUUUGCAGAUUCGGACCGAAUUUUUAGAAGGAUGACCAAACAACUCUUCUGUCAAAAUGCAUAAAAAUUAUAUGCUUUAAACGCCUAGAAAAAUACAACUGUUAAGUCACUAAGUGUAAAACUUCUUGAAAUGACAACUGCUAAGCCAUAAUUAUAUGUACCUUUCUCGUGAAACGAAAAACCUCAUUCAAGACAAAAUAAAAAAAUAAAGAAUAAUUAGUAAGAUGAAAGAGUGCAACAUCCUCUCAAAUAGUGCAACAAACUCAUCAAAAUAGUGCAAUAUCUGUAUAAGUAGUGCAACAUAUGCAUUGUUAAUACAUAUUUUGCAUGAUUUUUACACUAAAUUACGCACAGUUUAGUAUAUUACGCGAAAAUAAUAUAUUAUAUUACAACAUACUAUAAAAAUUAUACAAUAUAUGUAUAAACGGUGCAUAUUUUACACUAUUUGUAUAGAUAUUUACACUAUUUGUGUAAAUGUUAUACUGUUAUGAGAGAAUAUUGCACCAUUUAGAGAUAUAUGUUGCACUCUUUCUUUUUGAAAAUUAAAUUUCAUUGCAUAUUAAAUAAAGUGUAAAAUUUCUUGAAAAUGAUAACUGCUAAACCAUAAUUACAUGCAUGUACCUUUCUUGUAACAAGAAAUCUCAUUCAAGAGAAAAUAAAAAUAAUAAAGAAUAAUUAAUAAGAUGAAAGAGUGCAACUUCCUCUCAAAUAGUGCAACAAUCUCUUCAAAAUAGUGCAAUAUCUGUAUAAGUAGUGCAACAUAUGCAUUGAUAAUAAAUAUUUUGUAUGAUUUUUACACUGAAUUACGCACAGUUUAGUAUAUUACGCAAAAAUAAUAUAUUAUAUUACAACAUACUAUAAAAAUUAUAUAAUAUAUGUACAAACGGUGCAUAUUUUAUACUAUUUGUGUAGAUAUUUACACCAUUUGUGUAAAUGUUGCACUAUAAUGAGAGGAUGUUGCAUCCUUUAGAUGUGUGUUGCACUCUUUCUUUUUGAAAAUUAAAUUUCAUUGCAUAUUAAAUAAAAUAUAAAACUUCUUGAAAAUGACAACUGCUAAGUCAUAAUUACAUACAUGUACCUUUCUCUUGAAACGAGAAACCUCAUUCAAGAGAAAAUAAAAAAUAUAAAGAAUAAUUAAUAAGAUGAAAGAGUGCAAUAUUCUCUCAAAUAGUGCAACAAUUUCUUCAAAAUAGUGCAAUAUCUAUAUAAGUAGUGCAUCAUUUGCAUUGUUAAUAUACAUUUUGUAUGAUUUUUAUACUAAAUUACGCACAGUUUAGUAUAUUACGUAAAAAUAAUAUAUUAUAUUACAACAUACUAUAAAAAUUAUAUAAUAUAUGUACAAACGGUGCAUAUUUUAUACUAUUUGUGUAGAUAUUUACANAAGAAUAAUUAGUAAGAUGAAAGAGUGCAACAUCCUCUCAAAUAGUGCAACAAGCUCUUCAAAAUAGUGCAAUAUCUGUAUAAGUAGUGCAACAUACGCAUUGUUAAUACACAUUUUACAUAAUUUUUACACUAAAUUACAUACAGUUUAAUAUAUUACGCGAAAAUAAUAUGCAACAUAUAAUAUAAUAAACUGUAUGUAAUUAAUUUAGUAUAAAAAUCAUACAAAAUGUGUAUUAACAAUGCAUAUGUUGCACUAUAUAUACAGAUAUUUCACUAUUUUGAAGAGCUUGUUACACUAUUUGAGAGGAUAUUGCACUCUUUCAUCUUAUUAAUUAUUCUUUAUUCUUUUUAUUUUCUCUUAAAUGAGGUUUCUCGUUUCACCAGAAAGGUACAUGCAUGUAAUUAUGGCUUAGCAAUUGUCAUUUUUAAGAAAUUUUACACUUUAUUUAAUAUGCAAUGAAAUUUAAUUUUUUUAAAAAAAGAGUGCAACAUACAUCUAAAUGGUGCAAUAUCCUUUCAUAAUAGUACAACAUUUACACAAAUUGUGUAAAUAUCUGUACAAAUAGUAUAAAAUAAGCACCGUUUGUACAUAUAUUGUAUAAUUUUUAUAGUAUGCUGUAAUAUAUUAUAUUAUUUUCGGGUAAUAUACUAAACUGUGCGUACUUUAGUGUAAAAAUCAUGUAAAAUGUGUAUUAACAAUGCAUAUGUUGCACUACUUAUACAGAUAUUGCACUAUUUUAAAAAGCUUGUUGCACUAUUUGAGAGGAUGUUGCUCUCUUUCAUUUUAUUAAUUAUUCUUUAUUCUUUUUAUUUUCUCUUGAAUGAGAUUUCUCGUUUCACGAGAAAGAUACAUACAUGUAAUUAUGNUUCUUUUUAUUUUCUCUUGAAUGAGAUUUCUCGUUUCACGAGAAAGAUACAUACAUGUAAUUAUGACUUAGCAGCUGUCAUUUCCAAAAAGUUUUACAUUUUAUUUAAUAUGCAAUAAAAUUUAAUUUUCAAAAAGAAAGAGUACAACACGCAUCUAAAUGGUGCAACAUCCUCUCAUAAUAAUGCAACAUUUACACAAAUAGUGUAAAUAUAUGUAUAAAUAGUGUAAAAUAUGCACCGUUUGUACAUAUAUUGUAUAAUUUUUAUAGUAUGUUGUAAUAUAUUAUAUUAUUUUCGCGUAAUAUACUAAACUGUGCGUAAUUUAAUGUAAAAAUCAUGCAAAAUGUUUAUUAACAAUACAUAUGUUGCACUAAUUAUACAGAUAUUGCACUAUUUUGAAGAGCUUGUUGUAUUAUUUGAGAGGAUGUUGCACUCUUUCAUCUUAUUAAUUAUUCUUUUUUUUUAUUUUGUCUUGAAUGAGGUUUCCCGUUUCACGAGAAUGGUACAUAUAAUUAUGACUUAGCAUAUGAAUUUUGAAAGAGGGGUAGUUUGAUCAUCCUUCUGAAAAUUCGGCUCGAAUAUGCAAAAACUAAAAAGAUGGUCCCCUUUUGCAAAAGCGCAAAAUUAGUGAAUUUUUUUAUGCAAAUUGGCCAAUAUUUAAAGCAUCAUUCAUUGUAGCUUUAAAUUUUCUGAAAUAAACGGUUGCUUUAUGUACUAUAACAUGAUAUCAAAGUAAUAAUGAGUUUGAAUCCCAUCGGGUUUCUGGUAUCAAAAUGUCUUAAUACCAUACUGAAGGAAGGUGCUAAGUAUAAUUAUUAUAGACACCAUUCUCUGAUAAUUUAAAUUUUUAAAGACUAAUGAUUAUUUCACAUAAGAUAACAAAUUAUUUAAAUUUCUCAAGAUUAUUAUUUUUGUUUUGAUCAGUACAUGUUAUGAUGAAAAAGAUAGGGUUUAGUAUAUUAAUUUGUUUCCAAAGAACGAUAACAAAAAUAUGUUGGCUAAAAUAUAAAUUCCAGUCUCAUUAGAUUUUAUGCCAAUAGUGUGUAAAUUGCCCUCGAGCCUCAAUGGAUCCUGAUUUGUGUUAUCAAACAUUUUAAACAUAGUUUUUCCAUCGUAAAUUCAAACAUACUCAUUAGGCUUCAGAAUUUUAUUUUAGCUUUUUUCACAUUUAUCCCUCAUUAUUUACAUAAUCAAAGUAACAGUUUUAUCAUUCACUCAUCCUUCUUUGAAAUCGAAAAUAAAUAAAUAAACAAACACAGUUGAAGUGUGUGUAUGAAUGAAUUUAUGCAGUACAUAAUGACAAUUGAAUCCAUGGAAGGAUCACAAUCUUUAGAAUUCACUAAAAGAAUACAAAAUACCAGUUUUAUUAUCCGCUGAUUCGUCCUCGGCUAUCUCUCCUCAAUCCCCUCUCUUCCGAUUCAGCUGUGCCCGCGCCGCUGCUUUCACUAGUCAAUCCACUGUAUUCGCUACUUACGUAGUCUCGGCUUCCGAAUGCCAUCCUCCUGAGCCUUCUGAUUUCACUUUCUUGGCCUGAAUCCUUAGUGUGGAAAGAGCUUUGGCCGGGUUUGAUUCCAGCAUUUCGAUCCUCGGCAGAGAUUUCUCCUUCAAGGUACCGCACAAUCUGCUUAAAUAACAAGCUCAAAUUGUUGUUAAUUCUAUUUGAUGAUUGUUACAAUAGUUCUUAUGGAUGGGAAAAAAAAAAGAAAACUUCAAAUACCACCCUUAUGGUUUCACACUUUUUCACUUUAGUACCGUACGAUUUAAAGUAUAUCAAUUUAGUACCCUAUAGUUUCGCUCUUUCUCACUUUAGUACCCUGUGGUUAAAGUGCAUCAAUUUAGUACCUUAUGGUUAGGGGUAUAAAACAGGCCGGGCAGCCCACACACGACUGCGGGCCGGACCGUGGCCCGGCACAGAUACUAUAGCAUCCCUGUCAUGCCAACCCGGCCUAGCUCCAUGGGCCGUGCUGGGCCGAGCUUCUGCAGCCCGUAGGCCCGACACGGCAUGGCCCGGCCCGUGUCAGGCUUGGGCUGUGCCGGGCCGCAAGGUCGGCCCACAGCCCGGCACAACCCGGAUGGGCCGUGCCUGUUAGGGCAGCACGGCCCAGGCCCGAUUUACUUGUAAGGUAGCCUACAUGUAGAGCUUUAUAGGCCUCGCUUUGCCAGAGCCUAUAAGGCUUGGCUAGCAAGCUUUGGGGCUUUUUGACAUCCUCAGACAGAGGGCCCAAUAGCCGUUGGGUCCUCUUUUUUCUUUUUUUUUUCAAAAAAAAUACUUAUUUUAUUAUUAAUUUUAAAAAAAGGUUAAAAAUAAAAAAAAAAAUAUUUUUUUGAUCAAGAUGACCACAAUACCCUCACUAACAUUCAAAAAUUAUAUUGAAUAUUUUUUUUCUAUUGUUUGCUAAUUUGUUGUACAAACGAUACCAUUUUAUUUUAAAUAUAUUUUUGAUUUUUUAAAUUUUUAUACUUUUCUCUAAUCUAAUUAUACAAUAUGAUUAAUUCAAAUUUUACAUAUUUUUUGUGCUUUUUUUUCGAAUAUCGAUUUCUCUUCAAAUAAUAAAAAAUUAUGAAAAAAAAUUAAUAUUAAUUUUUUUAAAAAAAAGUUAAAUUUAUUGUUUGUGUUUUAGUUUUUUUAAAAAAAAUUACAAAAUUUUUAAAAAAGUUUUAAAAAGGUUGGGUAUAAUUGUAUAAAUUAAAAACUGUAAGUUAAAAAGUGGCCUUUUUGCAUAAAAAAUUCACUUAUUUUGGGCUUUUGCAAAAUCGGGCCACAUUUUUCGUUUUUGCAGAUUCGGUCCGCUUUUUCAGCAAACUGACCAAAAUACCCUUAUUACUUUUUCUCUUUCCUCUUUCUCUCUCCUCUUUAUUCUCUCAUUCUUUUUUUUUUUCCGCCAGAAAAAUAAAAGCGAAGGCCAGGCGGAGCAAUUUUUUCCUCUCUUUUUCUUUUUCUUAUUCUUCUUCCUCCCACUGGAGCACCUUUUUUUUUUUUCCUCUUCUUCUUCUUCUUCUUCUUCCUGUAAGAGCACGGGGCGCGCCAUGGCGGCUUCCGGCCUCGCCAAGCGGCGUCUACCCGGCGGCGUUCUGCAGGGAGGGGUCGGCACCGGCGACCGCGAGCGCCGUGGCGAGGGUGGGGGCGCACGGGAGGCGGGCGGCGAGGUGGAGCGGGGUGUCGCAGCCGGGGACGUCGCGCCGGUCGAGGGCGGCGGUCACGCGCGCNNNNNNNNNNNNNNNUUCUUCUUCGGGCGUGCUGCGGCUGCUCUCUAUCGGAUAGUCGCAAAAUUGCGCCAAAGUGUUGUCGGAAAUCCAAUUCCUUAGAAAUUCUAACAAUUAGUAAUUAACUGAGAUAGGUGGUGCUCUCCGAAACAGUUGGAUUUCUUUCUAUAUCCGAUUUAAAGUUUUGAGCUUUUAUAUAUAUAUAUAUAUAUAGAGCUAGGCUCCUAUGCUUUUGAAAGUACGGGAGGCUCCGUGCUUGUAAGUUGUUUUCGAUGAUGGGACAUUCAAUUCGACGAUCGGUUCCAUUAAACUUGAUCUACGUUAUUGGAACUAUCUAGAAACCAAAUUUCAUAAUUUUUUGAUUUCGUUUGUGCAGUGAACGAGUGGCCUCAAAAUGAACGGCUAAAAAUAAAAAUCUCAUAAAAAACUGUGAUAAAGGAUUCAAAUUUUAAAUCGGAAGUAUUGAUCUUGCUACUGAUGUUAAGUAGAAUUUUCUAUUAAAUUUUCAUGUAAUUUGGAUACUUCUACACCGUUGAACUUAAAAAUGUGCCACAUCGGUCGUUAAACUAGUCAUUUUUUAGACCUUUUGAUCGCUUAGUAAAUGAUGUCAAAAAAAUCUAAAUUUUGGUUUCUAGAUAGUUCCAAUAGGAUAGAUCAUACCUAACAGAGCCGAUCGUCGAAUCGGACGUCCUAUCAUCGAAAACAAUUUACAAGCACGGGGCCUCCCGUACUUUCGAAAGUACUGGAGACGGACUAUAUAUAUAUAUAUAUAUAUAUAUAUAUAUAUAGUGGGCUGGUAUGCUUCUGGAAGCACGGAGGCCUCCGUGCUUCCAAGUAGUUUUCGAUGUUCGGACUUUCGAAUCGAUGAUCGGCUCCGUUAGAGUUGAUCUAGAGUAUUUGAAGUACCUAGAAAAUAAAUUUUGCGAUUUUUCGAUAUCAUUUGCCUAGUGAUCCAAGGGGCUCAAAAUCAAUAAUUUUAACGGCCGUGGUGAGCCGGUUGCAAGUUUAACGGUGUGGAAAUAUCCAAAUCACAUGAAAUUUUGAUAGAAAAUUCUUUAUACCAUAUAAAACAAGUUCAAUAAUUUUGAUCUAAAAUUUUAAUGUCAUAUCAUCAUAUUUUGUAAGAUAUUUAUUUUCAGCCGUUGAUUUUGAGCCACUUCGAUCACUAGGAAAAUGAUAUCGAAAAAUCGCAAAAUUUAUUUUCUGAAUACUUCAAAUACUCUAAAUCAAGUUUAACGAAGUCGAUCGUCGAUUCGAAAGUCCGAACAUCGAAAACAAAGUGGAAGCACGGAGCCCUCUAUAUAUAUAUAUAUAUGUGUGUGUGUGUGUGGGCGCGCGCGCACGCGUAAUUAUGCACGUUUCAAAUAUAUUUAUUGCAUGUUAGGAUCCAAGUAUAUAUAAUGCCAUGUAAUUUGCAUGCUUUCUAAUUUAGAAAUAGAUAACUGUGAUUGAGAAUUUUGAAUUUAGGAUGCAUGAGCAUAGUGUUAUGUGAACUCUAGAGAUGCGUUGAACUAGUAAAGUAAAUUCGUUGUAUGGGUAUAGAAAAUAUAGAGGAAUACUAGACGUAGUUGAGUGUCAAAUAUAAACCUAGUGACAGAUUAAGAUGUAACGGUUCAAAUCCAAUAUAUUAAAAAGCUGGGUAAUAAAAUCAAAUUUUUGAAAUGCUGAAUAGUCAAUUCAAUAUUCUCUAUUAAUUAGAUAUGACCUACAAUGUAAUACGCACUAGUCACGAGUUUUGUAAUUUACCUCUUAUAGUUUAGCAUAUUUUUACUUUGCAAUCAGUUUUUAUUUUAAGGCAUUUUACAAACAGUAAACUAUUAGGAAUUGAAAACAUUUUACAAAUUGUACUGAAUAUGGGAAUUGAAAUCAUAAUCUCACGAAAUAAAGAGGUUCAUAAUUGCUUCUAAUAUCAUAUUACUCAAAAAACCAAUCGAAAACGAAUAUAUUAAAAAAUAUAUAUUAACAUCCUCACGUAAAUAAAAUAUGUAAACAAAAAUCAAUCACUUGUAAGAAAUAAACGUCCAAAGUUUACAAUCUCAAUAUAUGUCUUUUCAAAUUUCACUAAACUCAUCUAAUACAAAAAAAUCAUCUAACAAAUUAAGUUCUAAUUUUAUAAUAUCUACAAUAAAAUCUUAGGGUGCAGUGCAUGGUGCAAUACAUGCAUGCAAUAAUUUUUUUGUUAAUGGGAGUAGAAUUAUUCAUUGACAAGUGAUCAUUAAGAUAUGCGCGUGGGACUAAAUGAAUAGUCUAAAAAACAAAUUUAGUUGUGGGAAUUUUCGUUUCGUUGCGUAUUGUUUCAAUAUUUAAAACAUUAUAUUAUUGAAAAUCAGAUGAUGAAAAGUCAAACCAAAUAUAGGGGCAUUAACUACACCAUUUGACCCUUUUUUAUUCAUAUUUUGGGAAUGACUUUUGAUUUGUCGACUUGACCUGGCUUUUUUUUUAUUUUCCGAAGAGAAAUAGGGAUAAAAACAUUUUUGCCAAUUUUAAAGGACAAAUAAAUAAAUAAAUAAGUAAAAAAAAUUUUGUCUUGUAAUGAUUAGUAAUCUGCUAGGUCAUGUGACCCAGUGUGCCUUUAUUUUGGAGUUUUUCAAAUGGAUAGGGAUUCAAAAUUUGUACGUCUUUAUUUACGUAAUUUGAUAUUUUAAAUGUUAAUUUUAAAAAAUACUAUUCCGAUCUGAACUGUUCAAUGUAACGUGUGAUUCAUAAAAGUAGAGUUUAGGUCAAGAGAAUUGGUCCGUUGUUUUUGUUGGUGGUGCCUUAGGUCAAAAGAAUACUUGAUUUACUUUUAUCCAAUCUCAAAAGUAUAUCGACUAAUUCUCUUUUAAAAAAAUUCUUAACGCUAAUAUAAUGCUCUCUAUCUCAACUCUGAAUUUAUUUUUUUAUUUUUGUUUAGUACUUUCAUAGUUUCUAAUUAUUUUAGAUAAAUUUUUUUAUUUAAUUAAAUUAAAAAUUAUAUUAAAUUUAAUAGUUCUGUCAACUAAUAGUCAUUAAUUGUCAUAAUUGUAUUUACUAAAAAUUAAGAAAUUAGAUUUAGUAAAUUUUAAAGUUAUUUGAGUGAAAUAAUAUAAAAAAAAUAAUUAGAAGUAAGUAAGUAUAAAUAAAAAAAGGAUAAUAUUUUUUUACACUAAUUAUUUAGUCACCAUAUUUUCUUAUCAAAAAUUUGAUUAGGUAGCUCUUGUUUAUUUGCUGAAGUUUUAAUUUGUAUGUAUUUUGGUUCUCCUUAUAAUCGAGUCUUGUAUUCGUCUCUGAUUGCCGUGGGUGUCUCAGUCAAACCGUGCGUAAACUUUAGAAAUAUUUGCAUAUACUAUAUUUUUUAUAAUAAAAAGAGUUUGAUUUUUCAUCUUUAGGCCAUUGCAAAUGUGGUAAUUUUAAUGAUUCUAAAACCAGCAUAUCCUGCCUGCAUGUUAGUUUAUCUUUCAAAAAAUUGGAAUAUUUCUUUCUUUCUUUCUUUCUUUUCCACUUGUAGAAUUCAUUUUUAUCACUCUCACUCAGUAGCCUGCUAACAACUGGUUCUGAGUAAACCAGAAAAAAAUAAUAUGCUGGAUUAGUUAGCAUUUCAUGAUCAGUUAACUUAUGUGUGCUGUUAAAAUCUAAACUAAGUCCCAUAGUCCAUACCGACCGUCCCAGCAAGUGGCAAAGGGCUUGAUGGUUGGUACCCGAGACCCAAGUUCAAAUUCUAGUUGAUUCACAUUUCUAGCUAAGUUUAUUUCUAAAUGAAAUAAACGAAGCGGGUAGCGUGCUACCUAUCUCUCUCUCAAAAAAAGUCCCAUAGUCCAUAUUUUGACACGUACAUUCGAGUUAUAAUUCGAGUUCAGUGCCUGGUAAUAGGAAUCCCCAUGAGGGAUCUAUCCACAAGCUUUGAACCUCACGAGAGUUUAAUCUGGAGUUCAAGUAGUUUAAGGAACUAUUUCAAAACUUAUCGCCAAUACGGUGAAAUAAGAACAUCCAGAAGAGUAAGGCCACCAAUGGCCGUUCAGCAAGAAGAGAACAAAAGAAAAGGACAGCAUACGAAAAUUAUUUGGGAUAUAGUACAACUGAAAUGCAGAUAUAGAGAUUGAGGAAAAGAUAGCAGAUACAUCGACACCGGUAGAUAAAACAUUGUUAUUUAUGUGUUGUAAAUUUGUUGAUGUUUCUAUUUUUUUACCUUUUCUUUUUCUUUUCUUUUUUUUUUUUUUUCCGUCUUAUGUCUUAGUAUACUGAUAUUGAUUAUUUAAUAUGAAGAUGAAGCUAUUGUUUAUUCAAAAAUUGAAAUUUACUGGUCCUGACAUAGGGAUGUAAAACGGGCCAGGCUGCCUGCCCCGGCACGGCCUCGGGUCAGGUUGCAGCCCGGCACUAAUACUGUAGCACUCUUGCCAGGGCGGCCCAUCUUGAUGGCCCAUCCUGAUGAUUACGGUCGUGCUGGACGUAUUUCUUUUCGACCCAAUGGCCUGAUACAGCCCGGUCUGUAACGAGUCUGGACCGUGUGGCCCUUUAGAGCACGACCCGCUUGGGCUGUGCCAACCUAGCCAGCACCGCCCAUACCCCAAGCCCAAGGCAACUUUUCUUGGGCUUGGGUUAUGAGCUCUCUCCUACCAAGGUCAGCAGGUUUUGGUCCAUCGGACCAAAUUAUUUAGUCUGUUGGACUAAAAGCCCUAUUAAUUCAUCUUUAAAAUAAUAAUAAUAAUAAUAAUAAUAAUAUUUAUAAAUUUAAAAAAUUGUAAUAAAAAUAUAGAUUUAAAUAGAAAUACUUUAUUGAUCAUACUUUCAAAAUUUAUUUAAAAAAAAAAAAAAACAAUAAAAUUUUAAAACACCGACCCAAAGGCCGUCCAGAUCCGGCCCGGCCUGGACCUUCUGGGCCUGGGCUGUGCUGGGCCGCGGUUCAUAGCAUCAUGCCCGCACGACCCGGCCUGGCCCGAAUGCGAAUCCAGGCCAAGAUGGGCCAACCUCUGGCCCACUUCCGCCCAGGUAAUGUGGGCCGUGCCAGCCCGUUUUGGCCCACAUUGCACCCCUAUUCUGACUUGAGAAGUUGUUGUUUGUAUUGAAGACAAUUUCCAUGCCAACCCAAAAAAGCAGAAAGAGUUGAUUGUGUCUAAUCUUACUUGCCAAUAUUGUAUUACUUUUGUUGUACAAAUAACAAAAUGCUAACGAUUUUCCUUUCUACAUGGACUUGGAUUUUUCUUUUUCUUUUUUUAAAAAAAUCAUCCGACAUCUUUUUCUUUUCUUUUUUCUUUUGAGGCCUUUUAAAGCCUGUUGGACCCGCCCGGUGUUUUUGCAUGAGUGCUAUCUCUUUAAGUAAUGAUUUUUUUUUUUAGAAAAGCUUUAAAUUGGAGCUAGUUUCUUUUUAUGCUUUUAGGUUUAAUUUUUUUCAAAUUUUAUUAUUACUUUUCAAAAUAGAGAAGCUAAAAGAAGAAUUAAAGUAUGUAGAUAGGUUCUCAAUAGCCCCCUCCACCUCACCGCCAUUGGCUAGAUUUGGUCAGAUUUCUAGCCAAAGUCCAACCAGUAGGUUCGAUUUUUCUGCUCUCUAUGUAUGAAGUCAUUCUUUUUUCUACUUUUUUUUUUUUCACAAUCAUCUAGAUAUUUGUCUCUUUCUUGCUUUUUUCUUUCUCCACUCAAACUCUUUCCUUCUUUUUUCGCCGGGCAUCAUCGUCUUUAAAUACAACCUUCGAAGCUUGGUGAAUUUAGAAAGGAAAACAUUUCGGUAUGGUUUGAAGUCUGGAGCCAGAUUAAGAUCGAGAUCUCGAUGAUUGCUUUUCCCUUUAUAUUAUUUCUUAUUUUGUUUUUUAUAACCUGCAUGGGGCUUAAAGUUUAAGAGAGCUUGAUUUAUUUUUUAGUAAAUGUGUAGGUACAAGAAACUGUUCUAUAUAUUUUUUCCUUUUCGUUUCUUAGGUUUGGGACCAUCACUUUCAUCUUUCCCAUUUAGUUUUAGAGAUAUUUUCGUUCCCAUAUUUUCUUUUGUGGAAAUGUUCUUUUAUUUGUUACUUUCUCAAAAUUAUUCAUUUAUAAUCAAGCUCUACUUUUCGACGAAUAAAUUGACUAUGAGCUUUAUUGAACGAAAAAAAAUUUCAGAUAGGUUAUAUACAUAGGUGUUUUGGAUGGUUUUAAUGAUCUACUUCACUGCAUUUAAAGCGAAAAUUGAAGGAAAAGCUCGUUUUAUUUUAUACGAGAGUUCAAAUUUUAGAUGUUACAGUUGAGAUUUAAGAACCAAACUAUUGGACUACUUGUAGUGGCUCUUUAGACUUUGUAGAUUGUAUGAGAAAAUUAAAAUAUGAAAGUGAUAUUACUAAUCAUAUCCAUGUAAUUAAUAAAAUAUAAUUAAUGAAAUUCAUUCUAUCUUAGAAUGGAUGGGUGUACAUCUACAUCCUACAUUCCUUUUUAGCUGCAGUGCAUGAUAUGUACGGAUGAACCGGGUGCAGGAAAUAAUAAUUGCUCCUCGUGCACCAUGUGGUGAACCUACCUCUCUCCCUAUGCUCUUUCGUGCGCAGCGCUACUACCACAAAGCUAAAUAUGCACUCCUCCCUCAUCUCUCUCUCAUUCUCUCUCUCUCUCCUCAAUCGAAACCCGAUGCUCUCCUCCUCUCUCACCACCGCACCCUCGCCCCCCAGAUCGAUUCCCCUUUCGAAACCCUCGUCGAAACCGAAACCCUACUAUGCGUCCCCUCUCCCUCUCCGCCGCACCGUCCCCUACGCCGCGAGGUCGCUCCCCAGACCCUCGCCCCCGAUCCGCGCCUCCGCCGCCGCCGCCGAAUCCGAGAGGUUCUCGGAGAACAACUCCAUCUCCGACUUCAUGAGGUUCCGGCGCGGCGGCGGCGGCGGCGGCGGCGGAGGCAGCGCCGAGGCCGAGGCCGGAGAGCUGCAAACCGCCGUCGUUAGUUACCGGAAGAAGCUCCCGUGGUUGCUCCUCAACCCUCUCCUUCAGGUGAUUCGCUUCUUAUGAUUUUCUCUCUCGAAUCUUUUGUUUUUGUUGGUGGUGUGUACGUUUUGUGUUGAUUUGGUGGGUGUUUUCGUCGUUACAGGUGGAUCUGGUGUCGACAAUUCACAUUGCGGAUAAGCAGUAUGUGGAAAUGUCCCUGAGAUUAUAAGUUAAUUGCGUAGUACAUCUGGUAUUUGUUUGUAAAAGAGAGAGGUUUUUGUCCAAUUCGAUGAAAUUACGUUUAAUUGUGCCAUUUUAAGAAUUGAAGUAAUCUGAAGCCUCAAUCUCAGCUGUUCAUCACUACUUGAAUCGAAAAAAGAUUCCGAAUUACCAUUCAAAUGAAGUGAUCAGCAGCUAAGCUUGAACCUUCAGGUCUUAAUAUGUUAAUUCACCUUUAACAUGAGCCGGUGACCAGGAAUAUUAUUGGCAUUCUCAAACAUCUGAUUAUAGUCCUUGAGAAAUCAAUUUUCCUUUUGAUUAUUUAUCUAGUGACACCACACGGAAAAGAUUUUCGCUGUAGGAACUUUAUGCGCCCCUUGAAGGCUAUGUGCUAAUACAUCUUGCAUUAGUUGAAAUGGUUCGGAAUGAAAGUUUCGCGAUUUACACCAUUACUAUGGUGGAUCUGAAUUUUUAUUGGCUUAUCAACCAGUUAAAAUUUUACUUGUCGCUAAUUUCUGUAUCCAGGUACUUUGAAACACUUCAGAAGGGACUUGAAUAUUAUGAUAUCAUUCUCUAUGAAAUGGUCGCUAGUAGAGAAAUUUUAGAGAAUAGGAGAAACUCAACAUCUACGAAGAGGCUUAAAGCUUCACGGUCUAAAGGCUUUAAUAUUCUUGGUUUUAUACAAAGGCAAAUGGCACGUAUUCUUUCGUUGGAUUUUCAGUUAGAUUGCCUAGAUUACGACAGUGAAAACUGGCUUCACGCUGACCUUGACUAUGAGACAUUCAAGCUGCUUCAGGUGAAUUUUCAUUUUUACUUGCCUUUGUUUAUUAUUUCAUUAUUUCAUUUCUAUAUUACCUUCUAUUUUUAGCAGUAAAAGUCAUUACGAACUCUUUGAAUGGAUGUUAUCGCAUAACAGAGCAGACUAGCGUCAAAGAAAUGUGUUCUUUUCUCUGAAAAGCUAACUUGCUAUUAGUUAUCGCUACUCACUAAGUUGAUUGUGAGCCUCUGAGGGUUCGGGAGAAGCUUCAAGUAACUAGUAUAGGUUAAAAAUGUGGAUACCCUGAACAUUAGGCCAUUUUGAAAUAGACAUUUCGACUUUAUCUAUUUAUUUAUUUCUAUGCCCCCUCAACUUUUGCUCACUUUUAUUCAACUUGUUUCCAUUAGCUGAAUUGGGAUUCCAUUAAAGUUAAUCCAUUAAAGUUAAUGGCUCUGUUAACUGUUAAUCUUUAACGAACCUGCAGCUUUGUCACUUGAAAGAGCGGAACUGUUUAAUGUUCACCUAAAGAAAUAACUUAAAUCAGAAUGUAGAAAAGUUGAGGGGGUCUAAAUUUUUGCAUUCAAAUAGUUACUUUGGCCACCGCAAGAAGUGUUGAACUGCUUUGCUGAUGCUCUGUAGUUUUUGCACAAAUUCUCCCAUCAAUCAUGCGCUCUCUCCCUCUAGACCGCUACUUACUCUUUUGUGUGCGAAUGAAAUUCUUUGCAAGUUUAAAUGGACUGAUUUGCCCUGUGUUUGAACAAACUUAAGUCAUUUUAUGCCUUCUUCUAUUUACGUGCUACACCUCAAAACAUUAAAAACCUGCCUUAACUUCUGUCUUCUGUUAUUUUCCAGCUUGAGAAAGGGGAAAGCUUCUUUACAUUUGCAAGGGACAUGACCAUGAAGUCUACAAAAGCUUUGGUGCAGCCGGUUUCUAUACCAGACGGUCUCGGCUUUUGGAGAUCUAAGUUACUAUGGGCUUCGCGUGUGCUUCCCAUGCCGCUUGUUGGGCUUCUCAUUAUCAGUGGUGUUUGUUCUCCAAUAGAAAGCCCAACCAGAGAAUAUCCCGAGUUAGAGGCACUUUCCCGGUUAGAUUUAGGAGCGGCUAUGAAGAUUUUCUUGGCUAGGCGAUUAACUUCUGAGUGAGUACUUGACUGCAGUUUUGACUGUUAUAUGAAUUCACCAAAAUAGCAUGCAGCUUCUUGAAUCUUAAAAUGUUCUCUAUAACUGUAAUACUACCUCAUCUUGCAUAUUUAGUGCUUCUUCCUCUGGCUUCAAAUUUUUAUAGUCGUCUAAGGGCCCUGUUUGGCCCUUCUAGAGCUUCUUCAAAUGUGCUGCUUGAGCAGAUCUGUUUAAAGAAACACUAACAGCUUGAGUAGGUCUGUUACUUUUGAUUUUUGGAGUAUAGAAGCUGUUUGAAAAGCUAUUCCAAACAGGCACUAUGGGCUGAAAUAGUGUUUCUAUUGCUUUGCGGUUCUACAGCUUUUUAGAUGUUACCAUUAUUAUGUGGGAGUAUUAUUGGUUGAAAAUGGGUCUUUUAUUUAGAGGAAGCAGAGAAUCGGAGAAGACAUGCAUGUUAUCUCAUCUAAAUGCAUAACUGAUAUUCGAUUAUAAAUCAUCAACCUAUACCUUGUUAGGAUGUUUUAUUUUUUUUCCUAGUGAGCUUAUAUUCACCUUCUCACUGCCUUGCCUAUCGUUGUGAAGGUUUACAGAGAUAACCUCUACCAUAGAAGAAAAAUCAGUGAUCAUCGGUGAACGAAAUAGGGUCGCCACCGAGGAGCUAAAAAGAGCAAUCGAUAACGGGUACAAGAGAAUAGCAGUUCUAUACGGAGGCGGGCAUAUGCCGGAUCUAGGGCGGCGAUUAAGGGAAGAGUUUGAUAUGAUCCCCACUCAAGUCGAGUGGAUAACCGCGUGGUCUAUAAGAAACCGCGAGCUCGAGAUCAACUCAUUGCCAUUUUUGAAGACAUUGGCUAAGCUCUCUGGUUGGCCUUUGAACAGGUACCAGACUUUGGCUUUGCUCAUCUUUUCGUCGGUCCUCGCAGUCGACUUAUGGUUUUGGGAGCUUUUUGUGGGUACUGCAGUGAACUGGGCUUCUUGGGGUGCUUCUGAAAUUAGCCAAUUCACGGAUAACAUAUUUAUUAUGUGAUUAUAGGAAAUAGUAAGGUGAAACACACAAAAAAAAAAUGCAAAAAAAGGAAAAAAGAAAAAUCUUAUACAGCAUUUGAAACUUGGCUUCUUGUAAAGGGAAAAAGGUUAAUUCCUUUUCUUUUGUCUGUAAUUUUUACAGCAGCCCUGGGGAUGCUUAAAUACUUUUGUAAAUACCAUUUAAAUGACUCAUUUAGAAUCUUAAGUUAACUUGGAUUUGCCCAGAGCACUUGGUUUGGUUUUUUGAAAAAAAACAAAAAAAAAAAAUCAAAAGCACUUUCAAGCUUUCAUCCUCUAAUGAUAUAAAAUUGUGAUGGCAAUUGAUCGUUGGAGGUGAUUUUCACUAUAAUUUUAUUGUAUGGAAGGAGAAAAAAAAUUGUAGUGUUCUUGGAUUUUUUUUUUUUUUUUGAGUGUUUACAGGUAUGUCGAAACAUCGCAAUCACACGAAGUAGGCCUGGGUUUUGAGUAUCCUUGCGUUCGCAUCUUUUAUGUCUCAUUUUUACAAGACAUAGAAGUUCUAUUAUGAUCUAGUUUGGUAAUUUGGUGGUUACAAGUAAAUUUUUUUUUUAAAUACUGUGAAAGAUUUACAGGUUCUUUGUAAAAUAAAAAAAAAGGAAAAAAAUUUGGAAAAAAAUAUGUUUGUGUCAAAUCAGCUAUAUAUAUUGAAAGAAUACAAACGAGAAAACUUUUUUUAAAAAAUAUGGUAGCACCAUGUCAGCUAUAUAUAUUAGGGAUUAAUAUAUGUAAAAGAAAAAAAAUAAAAAAANAAUAAAAAAAAAGGAAAAAAAUUUGGAAAAAAAUAUGUUUGUGUCAAAUCAGCUAUAUAUAUUGAAAGAAUACAAACGAGAAAACUUUUUUUAAAAAAAAUGGUUGCGCCGCGUCAGCUAUAUAAAUUGAGGAUUAAUAUAUAAGUCUCCAACUGUAAUUUUAUAAUUUUAAAAAAUAUUAAAAAUAUUUUAAAUUUUUUUGAAUCUUCUAUAAUAUAAAUAUAUAUAUACUUUUAGCCAUCACACUAUUAACUUAAAAUUUAUAAGGUUUUCUAAACUCUAGGAUGCAAAAGAUGCAAGAUGUGGUAGCAAUUUCUUAUUACAUACUAUGUUUAUAUAUAGAUUCUUUUAAAUUUAAUUAUUUAAAAAUUAAAUUUGAAAAUUAAAUAUAUGUUAAUUAAAUUGAUAAAAUUUUACGUCAUGCUUUCAUAUGAGUGUCCGCAGCAUCGCAUGGGUUUCCAACUAGUUUAUAUUUAAACCAUGGAAAUAUCAACGCUUGCUAUAAAUUCCACAUGCAUCUUUUUCGUUCCUCGUUGCAUGGUCAUAGGAAUAAGAAAACGUCGCAACCUCCAUAUGAAAAUAAGAUGUGAAAAUAAUUUGUUAGUAAAAAUUUUGAAAAGAAAAUAAUCUGUUGCUCUCAUGCAUAGUUUACCUUCUUUUUUUCCCUUUGGGAUAGAAACGUUUUAGAACUAAUUACUUGAACCAUAGAUUAUUUUGAUUCGAUUACUUAAUUUUUUAAAAUUUUAAUUUUACUUUCUAAUUUUCCAAUUUGUUUGAUUCGAGUCGGUCAGCAACACUUUGACUUUAAAAUUUAUAUACGUCGUCUGCCUUUACAGAUUUAAAUAAUAUAUUUUGUACAAUUCUCGCAACUAUAAAUUAAUUAAAAUAAAUAAUUAACUUAAAUUUUGAAGUCAAAAUAUCAUUUACAGACUCAAAUCAAACAAACUAAAAUAACAAAUUUAAAAAGUUGGGCAGCCGAAUCAAAAUUGCUCAUAACUUAGAUAAGUUCUGCACAUUUUUGUCCUUUUUUUUAAAGAGAAAGAUAGCAAAUUAUAAAUUUAGCUAUAAAUGUGAAGUAACUAGACUUCGAAUCUAGAAACUCAGAUAUUGAUCAUCAAGCUUUUAGCCAACUGCACUAGGUAGCUCUCAUGCAUAUAUAGUUAAUUCCACUUCCAGAUCACUCCAUUUAUUCCUCUCCUUGAUUAUCCUAGUCUCCUUAUUCCAAGUCAUCCCAUCUCUCCCAUUCACCAGUUGAAAAUAGAUAUACACAAGGGAUAGUGAUUUAAUUAUUCACCUAAUUAUAAUCAGUUUUAGGUCAUUUUAUAGCCAUUGUAGCAGUUGUACUGUAAAUGAACUGAACACGAGCGAACUGGGCCAGUUAAAAAUUGACUCAGAAAGAGUUUGGUUGGUGAUUUACUCACGUCACAAUUGCUUGCGGGUCAUUUUCUAGUCACUGUAAUAAUAUAAAUGAGUCGAAUACGAACGAGCGAGCUGGGGCUAACUUAAGAUCUGCUCAAAAUUAGUUUGUCUUGAAACUAAUUCGAGCCAAAUCAAAUUCAUUUUAAGCAUGCUCAAAUUAAGUUUAGCAAGAUAUUAUUAAACUAACUACUAAUUAGUACUUAAUUUAUUACAUUUUGCGUCUGUUUACGCUCUUAAAAGCCAAACAAAAAAAUGCUAAUGAAGAACUAAAACUUAAGAAUAAUAUUUAGCUAUGCUAUAAAUUAAGCUACAUUAAUAUUUUAUAUAUUUUAUUUAUUGUUUUCAAGAAUAUCGAGCCGAACAAUAUUUAUUCAAGUGUUUGGUUGGCCAUAAAAUUUAUCAAAAAUUACUUUUAGAUCAGCUUGAAAAAUUAUUUUAGUGUGUUUGUCUAGCUGUAAAUUUUUUUUUCGAAAAACUAUUUUUAUAUAUUUGAGGAAAAUGGAGUGUUUUGCAUUUCCGACAAUUUUCAGCGGAAAAUGCGAAAAAAAUUUUCAUUUGUUUUUUUCCACCGAAUCAAACAAAUUAAUAUGAUUUUUUUUUCCUUUCAACCAAAUAAAUAUUGAUGAAAAAUUAUUUUUUUUUCCUACAAAUCAAGUAUUACAAAGUGUAAAACUUGUUUUUCACCGUAAACUUUUUUUAUGAAAAAUAAUUUUUUACAGUUUACGUACAACCCAACACCCCCCUUAUUAAUUUGAAAACCUCUAAGCCUUUUAUUACAAAAAUUGUAAUAAGGUUCAUAUAUAUAUAUAUAUAUAUAUAGAGAGAGAGAGAGAGAGUUGAGCUGGAAUACUAUUAAUAGUAUUUGAAUUUUUUUGCUAUUAAUUUUUUAACCGUUAAAUCUAUAUUUUAAUCAAUUUCACUCUUUAGAUCCUAUUAUUUAACGAACCACUCAUUCAACCCUAGAGGGAUCACCACAAAACCCUAGAUGACCAUUAUCAUCCUAACUUUAUAAUUUUUUCAUCUAAGGGUCAAAUACUAUUAAUAGUAUUUCAGCCCAAUUCUCUAUAUAUGUAUUUGCAAUUUUUCGAUAUCAUUUACCUAGCAAUUAAAAGGAUUCAAAAUCAAUAAUUUUUAACGGCUGAAAAUAAAAAUUCUAUAAAACGUGGUGAUAUAGCACUAAAAUUUUCGAUCAGAAAUAUUGAUCUUGUUGUAGAUAGUAUAAAGAAUUUUGUAUCAAAAUUCCAUCUAAUUUGAAUACUUCUAUAUCGUUAAACUUGAAAACGACAAAUAUCAACCAUUAAAAAUUAUUGAUUUUGAACGCUUUCGAUCACUAGGUAAAUGAUAUCAAAAAAUCGUAAAAAUUAUUUUCUAGAAACUUCAAAUACGCUAGAUAAAGUCUAACGGAGCCGAUCGUCGAUUCGAAAAUUUCAUCAUCGAAAACGGCUCAGGAGCACGGAGGCCUCCGUGCUCCUGAGAGCACAGCAGUCCUGCUCUCUCUCUCUCUCUCUCUAUAUAUAUAUGUAAAUAAGGUGCUUAAUGAAUAUUUUAUCCAUUAAAUAUAACACAUUAUUAAUUGAAUUCAUUGCCUCACAUAAUGGGGGGGUUGCUACUACUUGGUUGAUUCCAUAGGAAAUAAUUCAGAAGUAAUCUUAACAUAAAAAUUAAGAAUCCUUGCUAUAAGUUAGAGUUGUUAGAUGAAAUCCUACUAAAUUUCUUAUCAGAAUGUCUUGAUGAGAGCUUCUGCUGGAGCCGGAAGCAAAGUCCUUGAGUCAGAGAUUUAGUUUCUCUUGUCUAGGAAUGUAUUUAAACUUCUACUUGAGCUAGAAGUUAUAUAUAUAUAUAUAUAUAUAUAUAUAUAUAGAGAGAGAGAGAGAGAGAGAGAGAGAGAGUUGAGCUAGAAUACUCUCAAAAGCAUCAAGGGGUUGGUACUUUUGAGUUUUUAACCCUUGGAUGGAGAGAUGUAGGGUUGAGAUGAUGGUAGUAAGUGGUGGUAGGUAGAAUAGUGCUUGAUCCAAAAGCUAUUAGUGAUCAAGAAGUCGACCGAAGGGCUAGAAACUUAGAAGCAUCAAAGGGUUGUUGCUUCUAAAAGUAUUAUAACUCAAUUAUAUAUAUAUUUCAGCUUAAUUCUCAAAAUAUACAAAACUAUUUUAGAAGCUAAACCAAACCACCAUUCAUGAUUUCGCACCACAUAAAGCGCAUUAAACAAUGUUUGUAUCUUAUCUCCAAGAAAGUAACAUAUUUAGAUUAAUUAAGAUAUUCAAGCUUAAGUUUAUGAUGAGUAUAAGACAAGAGUAUGUGCUUUUUCCAAAUAACAUCAAUCAAUUUACUGUUCCUCCCUUGAUUUCAAGUCAAAGAAGAGAUCUAUAGCACUUUUAACAUUCGGAAAAAUAAUAAAAAAAGAAAAGAAGAGAAAAAUAGAAGCAAAUGAAGUAAUCUAAUCUUAUAGGGAAACACUUGUUAAUUUAAUAACACCAAUGAUAAGAAAUACACAUCAAUAUAUGUUUGAUGAACUCCUAAAACUUUUUUUCAUUACCGACCGUCCCUAGAGCAAGUGGCAAAGGGCUUGGUGGUUGGUACCCGAGACCCAAGUUCGAAUCCUAGUUGAUUCACAUUUCCAGCUAAGUUUAUUUCUAAAUAAAAUAAACGAAACGGGUAGCGUGCUACCUAUCUCUCUCAAAAAAAAAAAAAAAGAAAAAAAAGAAAACUUUUUUUCAUUAAAAUGCCUCCAAUUAGAAAAGAUCUUUGAUAAGUAAUUAGAAGUUUUAUAUUUUUGUUUGAUUAUCGAAAUACGAAAAAUGAUUUCGGAAGUCACGCAACUUGCUCUUUAUCUCUAAGAAGGCAAAAUGAUCUUUGAUAAGUAUGAUACUGAAAUUUCUUUAUUUUCUUAACACCAUUAAUGGUUUUACUGUUCUUCCCCUGAAUUCAAUCCACAGAAACUGAUCUAAACUAGAGUUCUAAACUUUUGACAAUCCAAAAUAUAUUAAAAAAAGGGAAGAAGACAAAAAAAGAUGGUAGCUAGAUGAAGAAAUUCAAUCUUAUGGGAAGCAUAUAUAUAAUUAAUCACAUCAAUGAUGUGUAUCUAGUUAGCACAUAGAAUGAUUUGUAAUGUAUCUAUGUAUCUUUAAUGAUAAAAUAAUAUUGUACACACAACAUGACCAUGCAUUGAGAAUAACAUUCAAUCAGUAGAGUCGAGUAUCUUAAUUUGAUUUCACAAUAAAAGUUUAUAGAGCUAUAUAUUGUCCUUUAUAUGAAUGAUUAGUGUUUAAUGCAUUUUUUUUAGAUGAUGUAGGACGCGCUUGCGAGAGAGAAUUACAAUUAUGAAAUGAGUUUAUCAUCACUUGAUUUGCUAGUUCAACAAAAAUUACUAAUUUUUGAAGUAUAUUAGGUUAUCUAAAAUAAACUACCAUGCAAUUUUGGUGUUUUUGGGGUAAAAUUAUUAGUCAACUCUUAUUCUUUACCUCAGUUAGAAAAAGUAGGGAUCCCUAGCUAGAACUGGUCUAAUUAGUUGACUAGUGAAACAUGAGAAUAUCUUUUUGUUGUGGUGGAUAUAAAAAGAAAAGGAUACCCCAAAACAAAAUUCUAUUUUUGAAGAGUGAUCACUAUUGGGAUUUUUUUUUUUUUUUGAUCAUCACUAGGGUAUAUUCUAAUUUCUCUGAAUUUGAUCAAUUUUUAUUUUAAAUUUUUUCGGUUACUUUUUUAACACCAAAACAUGAACUAAUUAAAGCUGAUAUCAACAUCUUUUUUUUUCUUUUCAGGAAAAGAUAGUAUGCUAUCCGUUUAGUUCACUUUCCAAAAGAACUUUUUUGGUUAGUUGCAAAAUAAAUACAACUAUACUUUUCACACAUUCUACCUCCAAUGAGUAAAAUACCACUCUUUCUUAUUAUUAUUAUUAUUAUUAUUAUUAUUAUUAUUAUGAGAAUCAAGAGUUUGGCUCCUUUAUAAUACUAACAAAUUAAUUCAUGCUUCAUAGAAUGAAUUGAAAUAUAUUUUUAUACAAUUUAUUGGGCAGGUACUGGAUUAAGCAUGAAUACAUUUAUCAGGAUUAAUAUAUAUAUAUUUCUUGUAGCAAAAAUUAGUUUUGUUUUCAAAACUUGUAAGAAAGAAAUACUGUCAAAAUCUCCUUAUUAGGUAUCAGUCCACUUCAACUACUCAAAACUAUAAUGUCCUUCUUAAUUAUAAUUCAAUAACCCCUAAUAAUAUAUUAAAAAAACAAAUGUUAUGGGCCUUCAUUCUAGAACUAGAACUCUAUCCAAGAGAAUAUAUAUAUAUAUAUAAACAAAUAUACUAUAAAAUGCAAUUAAAACACUAAAGUCAAAAUAGAAUGUGAUACACAAGAAGGAACAAUGAGGAGUUGGCUUUAAAUGUCUUGUAAGGAGAGGUUUGAAUUACUUUUCCAAUAAACUACUUUGGUGCAUUGGUUUGUUUCCAUUGCUGUCCCCUUCAGCUAAAUCUCUAUCUUAUUAUCAUUUAUUGACUCAAUGUAAUGUAAUUGUCAAAGUAGUAGUUAAAUUCACUGCCAAAUUCAAUUGGAAUUUCAAAUAUGCAUAUAUAUGUACAUACAUAAAAUACAAAAAUUUUCUAAGUUUGAUAAGCAACUUAUGUUUCGUACCAACGGCCGUCUAGUAUUAAGGCUCAUCUCAGGACGAAAGCAUGUAGGAAUAUAUUUCGUUGUUUGCUAACACCUUUUGCAUGUGUUGGAUACUAUCAAUAUGUGCCACAAAAUUAAUACAACUAUACAAAGAGCAAUGCAUGUGUCGGAUCGUUGACGCUAACUAUUAAUUCCAAAAAUUCGAGCUGUUAGAAAUAUACAACCAACUCACUUAAAGCGUAUACGUACAGCAAGUGUUUACGAGUCUCGAUUAUGACUCGGCCCAAUCAGUCUCAUGUCACUUCGAAUAUAACUCGGUCCAGCCCUGCCUCCUGUCAUUUAGAAUAUGACUAGACUCAACCUAGCCUCCCGCUACAGAAAAAGAUACCGGCCCUUUUAAGCCAACACAAUUCUACAUCAUAGAUGUAAAAUUUAGGUCCUAGGAUUUCUAUGGCUAUAGGAUUCUAAAUAGGUUUUAUACAUUGGAUCCAAAUAUUUAAAGCAUUAUUUUCAAGUAACUUAAGCUUUUGAAGAAUAACGAUUAUUGCAUAUUAUCCAACAUGCUAUAAUAUCAUUUGUCCAUCCCCUUUUAGCCAAUGCAACAUCUUAAACCUAUCAAAACAUAUCGAGCUCAGAAAUAAGUAAGGUGAAGCGUUGAAUAUAAAUAUUAAAAAUAAUAUUCUCUUAUAGCUAAAGUUUUUGAAAGAAAUUAAACUCUAUAUAGAGUGUACAUAUAGUAUUUUUGUUAUCAUUAUUUAUUAAUUUUCAUGACAAGGUGUUAGGCCGCUUACUAACACGUGGCACAAACCCAACAACUGCUUAAUUUGCUGUGAGGAACUUCACGUACAACAACAUUAUCCCAAGUUUCAAAAUAGUAAUUAAAAAAUUUAUAUAUAUUAACAUGCAUAUGACUCACCUGUUGCAGGUUUAAUUAAGGGGUUAAUUUCUAAACCCCUCCACACUCUUUCUUUUCCCCUCCAAUUCAAAAUCUCUCUCUCUCUCUCUCUCUCUCUCUCUCUCUCUCGGGGUAUACAAACACAUUUAUAAAUGAGGGGAUCGACGACGAAGCACGACGAUGGUGGUGUGUGGGGAUCGGAUCCGGUCCCCGCGCGAAGGGCGCUGAGCGCCGAUUCGUCGCCGAUCUCGUCGGCGAGGAGGAGGAGCCUCCUCAUCGGCAACGACGACGACGACGAGGAGGAGGAGGAGGAGGAGGAGCUCGUGGAGGUCACCCUCGACCUCCGCGACGACGACACCCUCGUCCUCCGCAGCGUCGCCCCCGCCGCCCCGGCGACGGCGACGACGACGACGACGCCUCCGCCGAUGUUCGCGAUGCGGCGAAGCGCUUCGCACCACCGCCUCCUCCUCCGCCGCUUCUCGCGGGAGCUGCGCGCGAGGCAGGUCCCGCUCGACCUCAAGGCGGAGCUGCUCCGCUUCUCCCGCAACCUCGGCCUUCGCCUCCGCGGCCGCGCCGGCGCCGGCGCCGGCGUCGUCGGCGCCGGCGGAGGCGGAGGCGGCGCGGCGGUGGAGGCGGCGCUGGCGGCGCGCGCGGCGCGGCGCGAGCGGGCGAUGGCGGCGCGGGAGCGGGCGCGGGAUCGGGCGCGCGCGGGGGCGGCGCGCGGCGCGAUCCGCGGGCUCCGGUUCAUCAGCCGGAGCCGCGCCGACGCGUGGGGCGAGGUCGAGGGAAGCUUCGAGAAGCUCGCGCGCGACGGGUUCCUCUCCCGCUCCGAUUUCGCUCAAUGCAUCGGUAAUUUUGCUAAUUAUAAUUAGCCCCUCAUUAAUCUUUUAAUUAUUCAUGCUUAUUUUCAUUUUUUUUUCCCCCUGAAAAAAAGAAAGACAAAAGAAAAGCCGGUCCAAUGUAGCUUCAUUUAUUGAAAAUUUAUAUUUUUCGUACAAAAUAAAAUAUAAUUUUAUAUUUUUUAUUACUUAAAAAAAAUAUAAAAUUGCAGGAAUGAUGGAAUCGAAGGAGUUCGCGUCGGAGUUAUUCGACACGCUGAUGCGGAGGAAGGGGAUGAAGAAGGAGAAGGUGAGCAAAGAUGAGCUCUGGGAGAUGUGGUCGCAGAUCACCGACCAAAGCUUCGACUCUCGCCUCCAAAUCUUCUUUGACAUGUACGAAAUUUAAAUUCAAAUUUAAAUUUAUUUUUGUAUUAUUUUAUAAUUUAGGCACUGGAUUUUAAGUUUUUUUUUUAAAAAAAAAAGUAUACGUGCUUUAUAGGGUGGAUAAGAACGCGGAUGGGCGGGUAACAGAGGGGGAAGUUAAAGAGGUACGUGAAAUGUUGAAAACACAUGAACGAGUCUUUCACUCUUUUGGACUCUAAUAAAAUACACGGAGACACACAACUACAUAAUAUUAUAGGAAUAAAUAUUAAAUAAGAAAGAUAAUUUAAUCUGAGACCAAUUAAAUAAAAGUCUGGGAGAAAAAAAACGGAUAUACAGAACUUACCUCAACUAUUGCCUAUUUUAUAAUUUAAUAUAAGUGCCUAAUUUUUAAAAAUUUUAAUUUUAUUAUCUAAACUUUUUAAUUUAUUUGAUUUUGAACCAAUUAUUGAAUGCGUUGUUUAUCUUUACAAAUUUAGUUAGUGUAUUUAAUGCAAUUUAUGUAAUUAUAAAUUUACUGGAACAUAAAAUUAACUUAAAUAUCAUGUCAAAAGAAUCAUCAAAUAUGUGACUUAAAUAAAACUACUUAAAAAAAUAGAUACUAAAAUCAAUUUCUUUGUGGAUUUGAUGGUCCAAUCAAAACGGUCACGUAAGCUCUUUACAUUUCUUCCUAAGAAAAAAAAAAAAAAACGUGAACAGAAACUUUUGGUAUUAAAUCUUUUUAGAACUUGUAUAUGUUUGUUUUUAAACAUUUUUUUUAUAAAAGAAAUUACAACAAAAUUUAGUUUGUACAAAGUGCAAACUUUUUACGAAAAAAGAAACUUACUUUGAUCUCUAAAAUUUGUAACAUUUUAUUUUUUACCAUACCAUAAAUGGAAACUUUCGUAUAAUUUUAAAAAAAAUUGAGAGAGAGGUCAUGGUCAUUGUGGGCCUCUCAACAGCUCCGUACCAUGGCUCAGCGUAAUUCACAGAAAAUAAUCAUUAUAUUUUAAAAUUUUAAAUUAUUAAAAAAUAAUAUUUUUUAUUUUUAUAUUUAAUAUUUUUUUAUGUCUGAAUUUGAAAUUUUUUGUAAAACUCAUGAUGUGGACUCGAAUUAAAUUAGGAAAAAAUUAGUAAUGCUAGAAUUCUGGCAUAAUUCGAAUUCAGAAUCUUUUACUCUGAUAUCAUAUAAAAUUAACUAUUGUACAACAGUUGUUUCACAUUUUACAUCCUAACUCCCUUUUUUUUUCUUUUUUUUUAAAAUUUUCCAUUUUUCAGAUAAUAAUGCUUAGCGCCUCGGCCAAUAAGCUGUCGAGGCUCAAAGAACAAGCCGAGGAAUACGCAGCUCUAAUCAUGGAGGAGUUGGAUCCCGAAGCACUCGGCUACAUCGAGGUUUGCAUUUUAAUUAUUACGAUAACAACAAAAACAACAACAACAACAAUAAUAAUAACCUCUCUUUUUGGGUACACCACACGCCUCGUACUUUACUAUUUCUCACGCUACUAAAAUAUUUCUUUUAGUUAUAUAUAUAUAUAUAUAUAUAUAUAUAUAUAUAUAGAGUCCGGCUAUGGUACUUAUAAAAGUACCAAGUAUUUGGUGUUUAUAAAUUUUUUACCGUUAAAUCUACGCUUUUGAUCAUUUUCAUCCGUUAGAUUAUACUAUUCAACCAACCACCCACUUAACUCUAGGAGGGCCCACAUCAUCUUAACCGCAUAUUUCUUAAUCUAAGGGCUAAAAGCUUACAAGCACCAGGCUUGUUACUUUUAAAAGCAUAGGAGCUCAAUUCUAUAUAUAAUAUACUAUUAUAUAUUAUAUAUAUAUAUAUAAUAUAUAUUAUUCAAUAAUUCACGGAGACCAAGUCAACCGACUUAAUAAUAAUGCAACAAAAUAAUUUGGGAUCAUAUUUCUAGAAGUUUGAGUUGGUACUUUAAUAAGCAAAUCAACCAUUAUUCAUUCAUAUUCAUAAUAAAAAGUUGUGUUGGUAACAUGUUCGCAUCCCAAGAAUAUUCCUACCCAAAAAAGUAAUAAUCUUGGUCAAUGUGGUGUGUUUCUAGUAGUCACCUCUUUGUCUCAACUUCUCCAACAAUUUUUCUAAUGCGUGGAAAUGGUUGCUAAACAAUUUUUCUUGAAGUAGCUAAUAUUUGUGGUGUAGUAAAUAUAUAUAUAUAUAUAUAUAUAUAUAUUCCCCCCCUUCUUUUCAAUAAUAAAAAUUUUAAUUAGAAUGUUUUUUUAUCAGAUUCUUUGAAUGUAAUAAUAGAAGGAUUUGUAUUAUUAUGCCUAGUUUGGUAAUACUUUUUUUGAUGCCGGCUACAACCAUAACAUUAAAUUAGAAAAAAUAAAUUUUUUUUAAAGUAUAAAAACGAAUACUUUUAGCCACCGCGUUACUAAACUAUGCGUUAAUAGAAUUUUUUUUUAUUUUGUACAAAGAAUUAAAAGCGACUUUAUCGAUAUCAUUAUUUAUUAAAUCUAAUCAAAUACGGUCAUUAACUAAUAAUCGUGUUCUAGUGAAUUUUUCUUUCAAUAGUAAAUUUAGCUUAAAAAAAAUUAAUUUAGAUGGUUUUAUGGUGUGACUAAGAUAAGCUGAUUUGGUGACGUUAGGCGGAGUCGUGAUGUAGCUUUCUUACCUAAACCCUCCAGCAAUUAUAACCCUUUCGACAAUUACGUGGGAUUUGGGUUUUGGCUUUUCCCAUCAAUCACUUAUUCAACGUUCUAGUGGUUGAACAGCUACCUUAUGGCUUCUUAUUACAAGUGUCACGUCCAAAGCUCCCAUUUUUUUUACAUAUUAGUACACUAUUUUAUAUGUACUUCUUAUGUUUAAGUACUAGUUUUCUUUUGCUUUUGUUAGAGAAGAAACUUAGGCAUGGUAAUCAAUAUAGGUCCAAAAGGCCGUAAAUGCUGUGGAAAAUGUUACCAAGAACUAAAGUGGUUGCUGUUGAAUAUAUUGUAGUAUCAAAACACCGUUUUCUCUGGCUCUUGUUUAUAUAAAUAUUAAAAUUAUCGUUCUCUGAUGAUUUAAAAUUUUAAAGUAAAACGAUUGUUUUAUAUUCUUUAUUCUGGUAUUGAAGCAGGAGGUAGUUCUGAGUUUGAGUCUCGUUAGAUUCUUAAUAUUAUUUAAUUUUUUCUUAUUUAAUUUAAAUUUAUUUUUUUUGGUUCAUCAAAAAGUUGCGAGUCCAAAUUAUUGGUGCCAAACUUUUAGAGAAUAACGAUUAUUUUUACAUACUUUAAUAUUUUAUCAAGACAAAAAAUUCUGAGUUUGAAUUCCACCGGAUUGCUGGUUUUCGUUUAAUUUUCUCCUAUUUAUUUUAAAUCCUUGGUAGCUUAAAUCUUUUGAAAACAACAGUAGUUACUAGGGUGGCUGCAGAAGAGAUCGGGAAUUUGAAUUCUUGGCCUUGUAUUGCAAAAGUUAAUAGGAUUUGAUUCCCUGUCUUCGAGUAAUAUAUAGACCGGUUCCAAAAAUAGAGUUUUGGGUAAGGGAUCUAGAGGGAACUUAACCAAAAAAAAAAAAAGAGAAAAAAAUGUUACCAAAGAUUAAAAUACGGAGUUAGAGCCUGUUUAAUUGGCCCUACUCUAGAGUAUAAUAUUUUUCAAUAAAAUAUUAUUUAAAUAGUAUUAUUAAAAUAAAUUAGUUUACUAAAAUUCUUUUAAUAGAUAUUUUGCUGCAACAAAAUCAUAAACUAAAUUGGUGCUUUCGCUUUUGAAUCUUAAAAUUAAUCAGGUAUGUACUUUCCACCAUUGCAAAAGUUCUAGAUUUUUUUUCUAUUUGCUGAACGUUCUAGUAAAGUGACUGCAGCUGAAAGUAGGAGCAGAAAAAGGGCGGAUAAAGAUCAGUGGAUUGAAUAUUAUUAAAUCUAAACUGACAUCCUUUUACGGCGUAGAACAUAUUGAAUCUAAUGUUUUUGUAAAAAGCAAUUAUGGGUCCCUAAUUAGCAGAGCCGUUGAAUCAUCCAGUUUAUGUAAAUAAGCCAAUUGUAGAAUGAAACACAAUUUUUUUCCACUUUGAGUGUAAGUCAACUGCAGGAAAUUUCAAAUUUUGUUAGAACUUGGUGGUUUUCGUCGAAAAACUAACAAGCUCUAAGAAAAGUUAGUUAAGUUAACAUAUUGUAGAGUUGGUUAAUAAAUUAAAAAUUCCAGGUUCAAGUACAUAUUUGUUCAAACCCUGUUUGCUUGAGAUAACACCGAAAAAAGCUGUAUUAGAAAUUCUUAAGGUUUGAUGACAAGUGAUUCAACUGUUGAAGCACAUGCAUAUCUACAUAACUUUCUGCCUACACAUCUAUAAAUUAGGAUAGAAACAUCAAUUUUCGCAUAUACACUUUUAUAAACUCUUCUAAAAUCUGUAUAUUCUGAAUGUGGUUUUGUUGGCAGUUAUGGCAACUGGAAACUCUCUUGCUGCAAAAGGACACAUACCUGAACUACAGCCAAGCUCUGAGCUACACAAGCCAAGCACUUAGCCAGAACUUGGUGGGACUAACAGGGAAGGGCCCUAUUCACAUUCUAAGCACAAAGCUCGGUUACUACUUGGAGGACAAUUGGAAGCGCCUGUGGGUGCUGACACUAUGGAUCGCGGUUAUGGUGGCGCUUUUCACGUGGAAGUUCAUCCAGUAUCGGAACCGAUACGCAUUCCAGGUGAUGGGGUACUGCUUGGCCACUGCGAAAGGCGCUGCAGAGACAUUGAAGCUCAACAUGGCCCUCAUUCUCCUUCCCGUGUGCCGGAACACCAUUACUUGGUUGCGGUCAACCAGUGCUUCUCGCGUUUUGCCUUUCGAUGAUAACAUCAACUUCCACAAGGUUAGUCUUUUCUUUUCUUUUCUUUUCUUUUCUUUCAGAUGCUAGUAAAUGUUCGAUUUCCUAGUUAAUAAGGAUAUCUAAGAAAGUAUUACAAGUGUACCUAGCUGAUGUUUUAGAUUUCAAAUGUGGAAACUUAAACGAGUUCUAGGUAUAUCAUAUAUAUACACAAAUCAUGCAUGUGUGUGCAUUUUUACAUUUGUUUACGAACAUCUUUCAUUUGGUUUAUCUACAUAACUUUUCUACUAGUUUCAUUUAUUAGAAUUUAGAACUAAAUAAUUCCAUAUUGAAUUUACAAAAUUGUGUUGUUUUAUAUGUAUCCACAAAUGAAUUGUAUUUUUGCAGUAUUUUGCUGUAUUAGUAGUGUGCUAACUUGUUUGAAAAUUUGAUAAUAUCGGAAAUGUACUUGAGCCGAAUAGAAAUUUCAUUGAUUUAAUUUAUCUAAAUAGACGUAGAUCAUUUAGUCAAUUUUCAAUUGAAGUUUGAAUUUGAAUUUGAUAUUUUAAAGUAAAAUUCUAAAGAACAUAUUCAAUCAAAUCCUACCUGAUUAAAACAUUACUGUGCUGUGGCUUGCAGAAGUUGAAUUUCUGAAUGGCUAAGAUAUUAUCGACAUCUUCCAACUAUUUGUGAUCUGAGAAUGGGUUCAUAAACCAUUUUUGUUUUAUUUCAAUUUCACAACUGAUCUGGUUUCCUGAUUUUAUUCGAGUUUCGUUAGAUUUAACAGAUUCCAUCAAAUCUGCUGAAAAUGUUACUGCAAAUCAAGGAUGGAACUCUUCUAAACCAUAGUAGGAUAGUUGAGUUCGGGAGCGCAUUUCAAAAUAAUUCAUAGUUGAAUGUUUUGCAUACAAUUUAGCCUUAUUGCAUCAGAAAAUAAUAAUAAUAAUAAGUUCUUAUAAACACCUAAAUCAGUCAAUAAAUCAAUGUAAGAUCCCUUCAUUGGUCUCAUUAUGACAGACCAUUGCAGCGGCAAUUGUGGUUGGAAUAAUCCUUCACGCCGGUAACCACCUCUCCUGCGACUUCCCUAGGCUCAUCUCCUCCUCUCCUGACAUGUACUUUCCCCUCUCCAAAGACUUCGGUCCGACAAGGCCCACGUACACGGAGCUCAUCAGCGGUCCAGAAGGCAUAACCGGGAUCCUCAUGGUCCUAUGCAUGGCGGUGGCAUUCACUCUCGCCACACGUUGGUUCCGACGUAGCAUAGUAAAGUUUCCUAAGCCUUUUGACAAACUGACCGGAUUCAAUGCAUUCUGGUACUCGCACCACCUGUUUGUAAUUGUCUACAUUCUAUUCAUCAUUCAUGGACAGUUUCUCUACCUUGUCCACCAUUGGUACCUGAAAUCAGUGAGAUUCUGCUUCCUCUUGAACUUCUUAAAACCAGUUAAGUGAUCUUUAAGUUAUUUAGAACAUGUAUAAAGGUUCAUUUUUUUCUGUCGCAGACCUGGAUGUAUCUUGCUGUUCCUGUUUCUCUGUAUGCAGGGGAGAGGAUCCUAAGAAGCCUCCGAUCUAGCUAUUAUUCCGUUCGCCUGCUAAAGGUAAGAUAGCUCAUACUCUUUCUUUUCUUUUCUUUUUUUGUUUGUGUUUUUGUUUUUUAUGCUUACACACAUAGCUAGAGUCUAUUAACAUGGAAAGAUGUUUGCGCAGGUUGCUAUAUACCCUGGUAAUGUUUUGACAUUGCAAAUGUCUAAGCCUCCGGCAUUUCGCUACGAGAGUGGACAGUAUAUGUAUGUUCAGUGCCCUGCAGUUUCACCCUUCGAAUGGUACUUCUCAAGAAUGUCCAUUCAAUUUCGAUAGUUGUUUGUUAAAGUUUCGCUUCCUCACAUAUAUGCUAGCCAAAUUGCAUCCCUGUAAUGUUGCUUCGGGUAAAUCUAAAUGUAUCCCCUUCUCUUUUUAUUGCAAUCGAUUUGAACGAAACCAGAAAGGAACAUGUUAUGAAUGAUGCCAAUCCUAUAUUAUAAAUUACUUUUUCGAAUGUUGCACAGGCAUCCUUUCUCAAUAACUUCAGCGCCAAGUGAUAGCUAUCUCAGUGUUCACAUCCGACAAUUAGGAGAUUGGACACGAGAGCUCAAGCGGGUCUUUGCAGAGGCUUGUGAACCCGCGGCGGCGGAGAAAAGUGGCCUCCUUAGAGUGGAUGGCACUACCAAGAGAAGGUAUGUACUCUUUUAAGUUCCUUUUCGAGAAAUUAUUGUUUACUUACUAUCUCAAAUAGUAAAUGUAAAUACACUUGCAUUGCAUGGAAGAACCAAAAUUUCUUUCUGUUAUUUCUUUUUCUGAAUAUCAAGGACUGAUUUUUUUGUGAUAAAGUUUUGAUUGAAGAAACAGAGUUUUUUAAAAGAAUUCUGACUUUCUGAAUUGAAUAUGUUGAGAAUACAUUUACAAAGUUCUGUAAUUGGUAAAUUUUCAAUAAUCUAGAUUUUUUUUUGCUUAAUCGAUGGAUUAAACCUUUGUUUUCAAGCUUCACCUCAUAAUAAUCAACCACAUUACAUUCUGGGCAGAAAAUAAAUGAUCAUUUAUGAGAAAGUUCUGAGCAAAAUCAGGCCUUUCACUUUGGUUGUUUAAUGUGUAACUAGUUUGCAACACAAGUAGCCCAGUGUAGAUCCAUUUGUUAAUAAACAGAUCGUCAAGAUAAGCAUUGCUACUCUUAUGUUUUCUUCUUUCCAUUAUUUUCAUUGCCUUGUGUAAAAUGCAAAUCAUUUUUUCCCCCCGUAAAUGCAGCGUACCAAAGCUCUUGAUCGACGGGCCUUUUGGUGCACCAGCUCAGGACUACAAGAACUAUGAUGUGUUACUACUCGUCGGACUAGGAAUCGGAGCAACGCCUUUCAUCAGCAUAUUGAAAGAUCUGCUUAACAACAUUGUGAAAACAGAGGAGGAAGAAGUGAGUACUUUUCAUUACUAUCUUAUAGCAAAAGCCGAAAUAAGCAUGAAACUGUUGGAGGAUGUGUAAUGAGAGAAUUACUAAGGAUUCUUCAAGCCGCUUUAUUCAAAUAGCACUUUUUAGAAGCUCUGGACAUAUUCUCUAUUAUGAUGUUAUUCCUCUAUUCUCUUUCAGUAGUUGCUUUAGAAUGCUUGUUGGAUUGUUUCUUUAUUGCUUGUUUUGAGUGAAAUCGUUGGUUAGUUCAAUUCGAUACAAUAAACCCAAUUGCUAAUUGAUUCUCCUUUAAUCCUAGGAUGCUAUAUCAGAUGUUCAUCCGAAUCACGGAGAUACUGAUCUGGCCACAGUUGUGAGGACUCCAACAAAACCAAAGCGAAAUCUCAAGACGACGAAUGCGUAUUUCUACUGGGUAACACGCGAACAAGGCUCUUUCGAUUGGUUUAAGGGAGUUAUGAAUGAGGUUGCUGAAUUAGAUCAAAGGGUAAAGAACAUGAUCAAGACACUUAAACCGUAUUAGUUUCUUAUUCUCUUCGCAUUGUUUAGAGGACAAAUUUCUCACUUGAAGUUUAAUGUUACCCUCAUUAGGGCGUAAUCGAGAUGCACAACUAUCUGACAAGCGUGUACGAAGAAGGGGAUGCUCGAUCUGCGCUAAUAACCAUGAUUUCAGCUCUCAACCACGCGAAGAAUGGUGUAGAUAUAGUCUCUGGAACCAGAGUAAAUCCUUAUUUCCUUUUUCAGAAUUGAUUGCUGGAUACAGUGGGCUUGAGAAUUUAGUUAUGAAAUAAUUUUCUUACAAAUUGUUGCUAACUUGAAACUCAUUUGUCUCUCUAUAUCAGAAAGACAGAAGUGCUAUUUGAAGUAGAUCUUCUUAAAAAAGUGCUAACAACUUCACAAUUAAGUCCCUCUCAACAUUUCUAAACAUUUCAAUGCAGCAAAAUUUAUGAACAUUUUGUUUGUUAAAGCUUCUUUUUUUUCACUGAGAAGUUGUUCCGGAAGGAGGGAUGAGAAUCUGUUCUUUAUUUUGGUGGAUCUUCUUGUAAUAAUAUCAUGGCCAGUUAUUCAUUUUCUCCCAUUUAUUAUGCGGAAAAUUUAGUAGAAAAGAAGGAAGAGAAUUUGACAGAACAUUUUAUUACUAAUGUAGGGUUUAAUUUGGUUUUCUUUGAUCAAGUGGUUCCUAAAGAUUUGCUCACAAUUUGCAAUAUAUCUAAGCUAUAAUUAAUACAAUCAGUAAACUUCUGACGUUUCUUUUGAUACUGGACAGGUACGAACGCAUUUUGGGAGGCCCAGAUGGAAGAAGGUUUUCUCCAAAACAUGCUCUAAGCACCCAUUAGCCAAGAUUGGUAAGUUAAUUUCCAUUUUCUGAAAUUUUAUAGUCUACUUCCAUCUGAUUCCAUCAUACAUAUGAAACAAUCUUUUAUCUCCAGUAGUUUAAUUUAUUAGAGAACAGAGUUUUACUAUUUUAUAUUCAAGUUUGAACUCAAAACUUUUCGGCAAACUUAAGACGCGUACUUAAAUCAAAUAUGAGGAAAUUAAAUGAGGCUAGGAAUUGACUGUUCCUAGCGUAAGUGGCAAAAGGGCUUGAUGGUUGGUACUCGAGACCCAAGUUCGAAUCCUAGUUGAUUCACAUUUCCAGCUAAAUUUAUUUCUAAAUAAAAUAAACGAAGCGAGUAGCAUGCUACCUUUCUCUCAAAAAAUAGAAAAAGAAAAUGAGGCUAGGAGCUUCAUGGAAUUCUAACCUAGGGUCGCAUGCUUUGAUACCAUGUCAUCCAAAAUAUCGAUACGAUAAUAAUAUGUUUAACAAGAAAAAAAAAUUAAAAUGUAAUUAAUUAAAUUCUUUUCCUAUUUCUUAUGAACUUCUCUUCACCGAUUUCUUUUUAACUGUCACGGUGGCAUAUUUGCAGGAGUAUUCUACUGCGGAGCCCCAGUACUGGCGCAAGAACUAGGCAGACUUUGCUAUGAGUUCAAUCAAAAAGGCACCACCAAAUUUGAAUUCCACAAGGAGCAUUUCUAAACUCUUCUCUUGUACAGCCUCUUUUAUAUAUAUAUAUAUAUCCUUUUUGUGUAAAGUAUAGGGAUUAGGAAAUAAGAAAAGUAUAGGAGUACCAGGCACCAUAUAUGCUUAGUAUAUACUCCUCAAAGAUGAGGUAGCAAAAGUGGAAAAAAGAAAAAGAAAAUGGCAGUUGAUUAUCUUGAAUGUUUAUUUAAAUAAGAUGGAGAUUUCAUAUUGCAAUUGAACUGUCUAUAAUAAUUCCUGCACAGAGUGUGUUGGUUAUUAUUUAGAGUACUAUUUAGGAGGUGGCAAAUACCCAAAGCCACUCGUUGAUGUACUAUUUCUAUUAUUAGUUAGUUAUGUGAAAAGAAAAGUGUACAUCUUACGAUUAUUUUAUGUCAUAUUUGUAAAUGGCAAGCAACUGCUAUAAAAUAAACAGAAUUUUUUUCUUUUGUUUGCCAGUCUUUCUGUUUUUAAUUUAUUGGCAUAUCCUUAUCAUGAUUUUAGAGUAAUCUGCAAAAUAGUGGGCGUAGAAUUUUUUUACAUAAAAAAGGGGUUAUUAUUAUUGACAUAUAAAUAGCAAGUAUUUAAAUCUUAGGUCUCUUCCCCAUUCUUUUUGCUUGGUUUACUGUAGUGACACUCCAGUUGCUAUCAUAUCAUAAUAGAAUUAAAUUGAUUUGCAAUUUUAUGAGUUGAAGUGAAUUGAUGCUGCCUUUUUUUUUGGAAUAAAAAAAGAAGUAUGAAUUUUAUUGUCUACUAUUCCUGGUUCGUCCUUGGUGAUAUUACGUAUAAUAAAAUUUUGGAAGGAUACUUGUGAAUAAAUGAUUUAUUAAUCUGUAAAAUAUAAUAAAUAAUGGUAAAUCUGAGCUUAAACCAAUAGAAUAAAAAAUUUAAAUAUCCAACGGCACAAAAUGUGCCCAUGUGCCGAUAACAUAUUGGCACAAUACAAUCCCAUGCCAACAACAUGAUUCAAAGUCCUCUUUUUGUUGAAAUUAGCAAAUAAUUAUCAUAAAAAAAUAUAAAACAAUUGAUAAAAAUAAUAUAAUAAGUAAUUAAAAAUAUAUAAAUGGUGGAAAAAAAAUAAAUAUUUCAUAUCACAGCAAAUCAGCUUACACAUUUUAUGAUUAAUAUAUAUCAGCCCACCACGGCACGAACGCAUCAUAGGAAACGUUACCGACAAAUUCUCGAUUCAAUCCCCCCAACCAAAAACACCACGCUGUGAUCUAUUAACUCUUCGACAUUUUUCGGCACAUUGAAUCUACAUCACAUUUUACAGCAAAUUGAACUAUAUGUCGAAUAACAGGAGAAUCCUCAUCUGCUUAAAUUGCCUUCGUUUUUUUUUUUUUUCUUUUUCUUUUUUUACAGGGAAAAGGGGGGAAAAAAUCAAUGCAAUUGGAAUAUGAUUUACAGACAAGAUAUUAACAAAUGGAACGAAUUUACUAUAACAAAUUCCGAGUAAUAUCAUCUGCAAGGAUCUCAUUGUGUCGUUGCCGCGUCAUCCCGCGCUAAUACGAGUAUCUUGGAGGCGGUCUUGAGAGCAGAUUUCGUUCCGAUUGAUCCGUAGAGGAUGUAAGCGGCACGGUCGCGAAUUCGGUGUCAGGGUGUUGGAGUAGUUGGCUUUGUUUUGAAGAGCUAAAUGUUUGGUUUGUUGAGGGAUAAACAGGGGGAAGAUUAGAAGCAUUACUGGUGCUAGGACUGGUGGUGCUUUUCUCCUGUGUGUUUGAUGAAACUCUAGAAGCUUCCGCAGAUUCCCUUCUCUCUCUUUCUUCGGUUUCCUUGAGAAGAAAGUCGACCCACAGGUCCGCAAACGACUGGCCAAGCGGGAAAGAAAAAUGUUCGUCAUUAUAUAUUAUGGAAAACUUAUUGCAUUAUAUGAAAUAUGUCAUAUAUUCAUAGUAAUGUAACUUUAAAGAGGAAACAACUUGGAACCAUUCGAUAACCAAGUUCCAGUAUACGUUAAUUUUUCCGAUGAGCAAAUAAUGCCACAACUAGAAAAAGAUUUGAGACAACAGUAGAAUAACUCCCAAUACAUUACAUUCAUCGGAUAUUUGCCUAUGUGGUCCUCUCUUUCUUUCUCAAAAAAAAAGAAACCCCCCACGUUUAUGUUCCCUGAUAUGAAUUAUAUAUGAUUAACAUAAUUGUUGUUAUCAUGUCGGUCCUCAUAGCGAACUACCAAUAUGAUUGACACAUAGACCGUAAUCGUAAUCAUGUCAUUUCUUCUACAGAACAAAGAACCUGCAAAGCUACUUCUUUACAGUCUGAGUGGUUUCCAGGCUAUUUAAACAUCAACAGGGAAUAUCACAAACACCACCAUUAACUGGAUGACUACCCAUAGAAAAUACAUGAUUGAGAGGUAAAUAUGAAAAUUCAGACUUUCAUAAUAAUAUAUAUGUAAUCAGAGAACUUUGAGCCAAAAAAAUAUUCUCACCUGAUUUUCAGAAGGCAUUUUAGUAGAUGUUUCUUGCGAGUGUCCGCCCAGAAUUCCUCCAACAAGACGCCCUGGUAGACCCAAAACUCCUCUAACAACACCUUUGCCCGCAGCAUGUUGAGCAAAACCUAUUCUUUGUUUAUCUUCUUCCGAAAACCCUAGCAUGCGAACCAUAAGAUCCAGAACCUAGAAUACCCAAAACAUACAAAUUAGCCCAUAAUCAUGUGAAGGAAUGGAAAACCUGAGAAUCAACACUGACAUAUGAUAAAGAAAGAAAAAUACCUCUUUGCUAUGAUUUCUCUGGAAAUAGGUCACCAGCAACUUUAUCACUAUGCGCCUGCAAGUCGCCAAGUGUCGAUUAAUUUUGGCUCAAUGCUCGAGAAGACAAAGUUAAAAAUACGGGAAAAUCUAUCACAGUUACUCUUAACUUUCAAAGUUUUGGCAUGGUUCACAUGUUAGGAAAUAUAUACAGAAUUAUCAAAUAUAAAAGCUAAUUUUGCAAAUUGUGUAUCAAAAGAAAUAAAUUCAGAAUGGCCAAAAAAUGACAAAUCUUGAUAAAAACUGUAAUAAAUGACUAAUAGAAUACCUGUCAACAUAAUUAUCUGAAUCCAGCGACAUUCUAUUCAGUGUCGUCAUACUCUGCUCUAAGGCUCGGCGUAGUCUUGAAUUGUCUUCCUCAAGCUUCUGCAUUGAGUGCCUGCCCUCUGCCAAAAUUCUUUCACUUUGCGAAAGUUUAGCAGCUAUCUCUUCCUUCUCCUUUAUUGAUAGUUCGAGCUGCUGAUUUGCAACCUGAGGACGAAAAAAAGGAAAAUUAUCUAAAAUUUGUAGGCCCAAAUGAUAUUGGCACAGGAAAAACCUAGACAUUUUGCAGAACAGAAAAUUAAAUAAAAUUCACUGGGAAGUGAAAAACUAGACAAUCUGUGAGAGAAUGGACAGUUCAAAAAAUUUCAUUAUAGAAAAGCAAAGUAGAAAAUUUACACUUAAAAAGGAAUAAUUAGCUCAGGUAAACUAACGUGUAUAGCCAUUGAGAAUACAAUCAUAUCAGCAUUUAAAAUCAUGCUAACUCUAACGCAACUGCAAUUGUUUAUGUAAGAUCUAUAUUCAAUGCCAGCAACCAAUCCUAACAAAACAUGAGACAAAAUUUUCCAUUCAACAGACUUAUCAUUAUUAGUUCUCAGAUACUAACAGCUUGGCUUCCCUAUUUCUUGGCCUCCCUAUUGUAGUUCCAGAACAUAGAAGAGGAGUUCAUUCAGAAAACUAAUUUGAACAAAUUUUGCCUUUCAAUUAACAUAGAUAAGCUAAGAUACCAAUAGGUAAUAUGACCAAUAUAUUCAGAGGUGACAAAUUAUUGCCCCGACUGGGGCCAUUGUCACAGAUGUUGAUCUCCAAUUCCCUGCAAUCUCUACUUCCAAUCUUCACCGCAAAGUGAAUGGCAACCUUAUUGAUUUAGAAAUUAUUUUCUUUGAACAGUGAUAUGAGCGAUCGAAUUGAAAGUAUGAGAUGGAAGUGGUCGAAGACCAAAGAACAAUUUUUCUUCAGACAUGAGCACUAAUUUUUCUUCAGAACUGAGUGGAAGUUCUACAAUCUACAUACCUUUAAAGAUUCAGAGACUUUAGAAAGUUCUUCUCUUGCUGAUGCCAAAUCUCUUCCAAGUCGUUCCUGUAAAGUGUAAAAAGGCAUUCACAUAAAGCCAAGCAUCAACUUCUGAUAUUCUGUAGAUAGUAUGUCUAUUUCAAAAUAACAAAAGAGAAUAAUCAGCACUAAUAGUGCAUGCACAAAGCAGUUUACAAUCACCUUAGCUUCACUCUCAGCAUAGUAUUGUCCAAGGGCCGUCUGAAGAUUAACCAGUUCGAUAUUUUUAGAUUCAAGUGCGCUCAUACAGCUCGUGAGUUUUUGCUUUAAAUCAUGGAUAAUUUCAUUUGACUUCUGAAGUUCAUCAUUUGUUAGCUUCUUAAUAUCCUCCCUCUUAGCUAUCUCCUGCUUCAAGGCCCUUUCCAACUGCAAUAUAUGGUUUUUUUGGUAUUCACAAUUUGCUCUGAGUUCUUCAAUCAUUUUGGUAUCUUCAUCCAUCUUUUCUGAAUCUUCUUGCUCCUAUAAAAUCCAAUAUAAGAGAAAGCAUCUUCAGUCGAAUUGCAGGUAAGAGAAUGGCAAAAAUUAAAUAAAAGUACGAUUUUCUUGAGCUUGCCCCAAAGCCCCUAACCUGAACCCCCCAACACAUAAAAUUGUUUUAAUACCCAAGAAGCCGGAGGAACGAGCUCCUUUUUGUAAAAGCGCAAGUGGUGAUCGAACCCCAACCUCAAGGAUGGCAACCCGGGAAACCACUUGGGCUAGGCCAGUAGUUGUUAGUCAAAAGCAUGACUUGAAAAUAAAAGGAACAUUAUCGACAAUCCAGUAAGGGCUCAGAUACAAAUAUCAAGUUUUGAUGAGCAAUACUGAAAUAAAUGGGAUGUACUUCUGUAGACAAACAUUUUCAAAAUAAAUAUAAAAUAUCCUAUAUAUACUUAUGUUGGGAAAAGCUCAGUUGAAUUCUGCGUAACCUUAGAGAAAAAUUGCACUAGGAAGCAAUAAAUAAGGAUUUGCAACAGCUGCAGUGAUAAUCAGAAUAAUUAAAAAAAGUUCAAAAUAUGUCCUUGGGAAACUGAAUAUUAUUAAGAGAAGAAAAAGAAGUACUUUAUCUAGCAGAUGCUGCUUUAGCCGAUCCAAUUGGUGCAAUGUUUUGUCACGUUCUUUGCGAGUUUCUUUUAGUGCUUCCUCCAAUGUAUGUAUGGUCAAUGACAUCUCUUCUUUGACCUUCAAAGUUGGAAUAACUAACACAUUAGUACUAAUUAGAAAGGAUAAAAGGAAAUGUUAUUUCCUUCUCUAAUUAAAGGAUUGAGAAAUUUAAUUACACCAUAAUUUUUGUACAAUAGACGAUUGAUAACAUUUCAUGCUGUCAACUUGUGAAUAUUGUGCAAUAUCAAAACUGGAGGUUUUGUUUACAAGGCACAGGUAUUGCCGAUAUAAUACAAUGGUACAAUGGUACAAAGGUAAUGGCGGUGAUUCAAAACAACAUGUCGGCUGCCGAUAAAUAUUCAAUCACAAUAGUCACCUAAAUGGGAGGAAAAACACCUACCUUGUGCCAGUCAGGCUCCUCGUUCUGAGUAUCAAAAGCUUCAUCACCUUUUUUCCCAGCUGUACUCGUCAUAAGUUUCAGAUUUGCUUCAAGCUCGCCCUUCUCUAACUACAAAAGAAGUACAUUUAAUCAGAAUAAUUUCAAGAAACUCAACUACCCGGUUAACGUCUUCAAUAAAUUUUACUAAUAGUCUCUAAUAUAAUAAAUUAAGUAAAAAUGAAAUACUAAUCCAAUUUGAGCGCAGUAUAAUAUGACAAAUUACAUGUUUCACCAAAAAAUGCUCGUAUAGACCUUUAGUUGGGCAUUUUCUUUCUGUAGAUUCAAUAUCACACUUCUCAAAUGCUGUAGAGAUUCAUCUGAUACUUCUUCACUGCCCCUUCUGUUUAACUCCUCUUGGACUCGUCUUAAUUCUGAUACUUUCUCAUUUAGCUCCUUGCGCAACUCUUUCAUUUCAGUUGAGGCCUACCAGCAAAAUAUAAGGAUAUGAAUUCUACAAUAGAAAAGGCAGUGGAAGCAGGGGAAAAAAAAAAGAAAAAGAAAGGCUUUUACAUGUAUCCCGGCAAAGCCAUUUCUACAAUAUACUCUCAUAAAGUAAUUUCUAACAAAAAAUGCGAGUAUGAUAAGUUGGGGAGACAUCAGGUUCAUGGGCAAGUUGAUUUUCCAUCAAAAGGAUUUCUAAACAUGGGGUUUUUCUGUAAGUAUGAGAUUGUACUUACAUAAGAAAUAAGGUUUCUGAAGGGUACAAGGGCAUAUGGCAAAAUUUAUUUGGCAGGAAUAUGUAUGAUAGAUACAAAAUUUGCAGGUUAUACAUGCAAAUAUAACGUCCACAAGGAGGACGCUGGAAUGUUGACCCAUAUUAUACAGGCUUCUGUAAUCAGGGAUUUCCAAGAUAUAUAUAAAGAAGAAUUCAUAGAAAGACCAACCUAAAACUAAAAUUUAAAUAUUUAACUCACCUUCUCCUUGUCCGCCUUUAUUUCCUGAAGCUCCCUUUCGAAAGAUGAGUUGUGCUGGUAUUCAUCUAAAAGUUAAAAUAGGAGAGAGAUUUAAAACUGGCGAGUAAUUGAGCAUAAAAGGGAGCUCGAGAGUAUACUGAGCACAGUCACAAAGAAGAGUGUAAGGCACAUUGCAUCACACUGUACCUUCUAACUUCUGCUUUAAGAUUGUUGCCUUUUCUUGCUCAUUCUCGAGUUGUGACCUCAAUUGUUUAAUUUGAGAUUCGAGAUUAGCUUGUCUUCCUGCCAAAGAUCUGUUUUUUUCUUCCAACACAUCUAAAUAUUCCUACAACUCGAUCAAAUACUGAAGUCAAACAACUAAUUACAUAACAAAGACAAAGUAACAUUUGUUUCUCAAUACAAAAGAACAGACAAAAGUGAAAAAAUAUAGGAUUGGUUACAAAGUUCGACCCUGAAGCUUCACCCCAAUUUUCAAUUUCAAGCUCAUAUUUCAACUGUAACAACUUAUCUCAGAAGUUUGACCCCAAUUUGAAUUCAUCCUCGAGGAUUCAACUUUAACCCUGAAGUUUGGCCUCGAUUUAAAAUUUUCCCUAAAGCCAUCCUCCAAGUUUCGAUGUAAAAUAAGGAAGUUUAAAGAUAGUAAUGACAUGGCACCUCUGUCGAUGGACUAAAGGGAGGGCAUAAUAGCUCGGUAAAACAAACUUCAUAGGUUAAAUUGUUGGCAUUAAAACAAUGACCCAAAAUUAAAAAAUAGGUCAAAUUCAGGGAAGAAUUUGAAAGUAAAUCGUUCAAACAUAUAAUGAUGUAGCCAAACUCCUGAUAUUUUUUGAAGUUAGGAAUACACUAAAGCAUAAAAGCUCACAGCCUCACAGAUCAUUUAGUUCAUUUGAAAUUUGAGGAGAACAGAUUAGAUGAAUCAGGCUAUGAGUACCUUUUCGAUCCCCAGUGAGCUUGCAGGUUUAUGCAUGCCAUUUAGUGCAACAGCUUGUGCAGAACCAUUGCUAUAUCCAUCCUUUUUGGGGAUAUUAACAUUCCCUGCAUGGCUUCCAAAACGAGAAUUAUCUCCAGUAGCAUGCCGCUGUACUUUAGCAAGUGAUUGUUCAGAAGUUACCUGUGAUAAUCGUCAUCAGCAAAUUUAACUCAAAAAAAUUGAUUGUAUAGCUUUCUAGGAAACUUCUUGCAAGACUAUUGACUACAUUUACAGAAGGAGACCAGAGGAUUCUCAUGUAAACCUUAUGUAUGAAAGGGUGUAAACAGAAAUUAGAAUAAUCAGUUAUUUAAUUACAGAGUAUAUCUAUGUAUAACCAAAUAUUUAAGAUCCUGAGGUAUAAAACCAUAACAAAAAAAAAAACCCAACGAAGAUAGUAAAAGAACCGCAAGUAUCAUGAUGACAUCAAAAAUACCAAAUACCACAUUGAAGGCUAGCCGGUCGCACAACAACUUGAGCCUUGAGUACAGUCUCAAUGAAAACAAAAUUAUUACGCUGAUUAUACCGGACUGAUAAUUUUUCAUUCAAUAAAGUUAACCUACCAACAAGCUGCAUAACUUACAUCUUAUUGCACAGAAAGUAUUAGAAAGAUUGUCUUCAGCAGAUAAGAGAUCCUUGAUAGUGUUCAAAAUUUCGGAUUACUUAUAAGCAUUCUGAAUACUUACUUUUGUUUCCAGACUUCUUCUCAAAGAUUCAUUCUCUUCAUGUAAUUUAGAAAGCUGCUCCUGUCAGACGUUAAAUAAAAAAAGAAAUAAAAUAAAAUAAAUAGCUGCCUUAGAGAUAGCUUUCAAAACAUUUAUGACAAUCGGCAGACACUAUUACGUGCUUUCAACUACAUUAGAACUUCCACAAAAUUUGGUUCCCCACAAUUUAUUCCUCAAUAAAUACCAGAAUUACUGGGACACAUGAAACUAAUCAACAUAAUUAAUGGGCCACAAAAAUAACUAAUCAACAUAAAAAGUCUCCAUUAUUUUCCAUCAAGAUGUUGCCAAAUCAACAACAUAAUAGAGGGGAAAGUAUUAAAAGUAAGCAUUAAUGACAAACUAGAACUUUUGAAACCAAAUGAUAAACAAAUAUAGCAUGUAUUAUGUAGUUUAUAUAUUGUCCGCAGCUAGAGGGACUAAGUUUUUCUACUAUAGAUAUAAGGAGUCAAAAAUCUGAACUAAGCUAGAUAAAUUGUAUUCAAUUAGACAAGAAGGAGACACUCUCUCAGCAUAUGAACUUUUGCAGAAGAAAACUUGAAUUUGUUGAAUCCGACUAACAGGAAGGUGGCAAUAAAGUAAAUGCUUCAGGGCAAACAUGACUUUUCUUUUUAACAGCAUAAUUUACUCCUCUGAACAAAUAACAUAUAAUAUAAUGUGUCAACAGCUAGAAGCCUAGAAACCACAAAAACAGAUAGGAAAAGUUUAGAUACAAUGAACACUCUACUUGAAUUUUUAAGUAAUGAACCAAUAAGAAGAUUUGUUUAAUUUACAGUACAGCAGCGCAGGAAACAAUCAAAUCCUGAAAUGUUAUACAAAAAGUAGCAAUAUUUCAAGGAUGGACCUCUUUCUCCUUCAACAUCGCCGCAUAAUUAAAAGAAAGCGCCUUGAUUUCAGCCUCAGAUGCUUGAAGCUUCUGAAUUUCUUCUUUGUAUUUUGCAAUCUGCCAGAAAAGAAAAGCAUGAAAAAAUUCCACUAUUGGUCGAGAAUAAUUUGUUACUGAAAUUUGAUAAGAUGAAAGGUCCUUCAACAUACUAUAGCUCGACACACUAGAUCAACCCUUCCAACUUUUUAACAAAGGAAACAAAAAUUCAAUAGUUUCAAAAUUAACAUUUCCGCAGAAAUAACAAGAGGAUCAACUCAACCGUAUUUAGUUUCGAUUUCAUUUAAGGUGUUUUACAAACGCUAAUGUUUUACCUCCUUUUUACAUAUUUUAUGAGUUAUAUAGUCCAUCAAAAAUCUUGAAAAAAAAUAAUAGUUAAUUCAACUUUUUUAUGUGCGAAGACUUUAAGCUCAUGCAUUGACUUCUCAUUUCUCAAGGACGCAGCAGGUACUUCGCAUCGACGGUUUGCUUCUGGUUUCAAUUUCCCAAUGGUUUACUUUCAGUUUUUUUGUAUAAAUAUGUUGCUCCUUCGCUGCUUCACUUCUGAAUUUAUCAAUACCUAAAUGGAAUCUGCAAUUUUAACAACCGUAGUACCAAUUAGAGGUUCCGGCACUACCUAAAAGCCUAUUUUUCAGAGCUUCUGAAAGAACUACUAAUCUAGAAAAUGUUUCACAGCCAAAAGGUCUGAAUUGUCCGGAUGUGCCGGGAAGCCGAGGUUGGCUUCUAGGCCCCAAAUCAUGAGCUCUAAUAGUUUGAACAGACUCCGCAUACUGAAAAAAUGAUAACAUCUACUUGGAUUCCCGCAACCAAGUAUUGCGAACCUCAUUUUAACAACUCGAAAACAUAAUUCACUAGUCACUACUCCAAUCAUCAAAAAAUUCCACCGCUAAUGUCAUAUCAAUACAAAAACCCUAAUUCGUGCGACGAAUUGGUAACGAGAAGAUUCCGAUCCCCAAUGGAGCCCAUACCUCGCCAUGAGCCUCGGAAUCGGCCCCAUUGCCCACCGGCGAGCCGUGCGGCGGCGUCGCCCGCGAGGAUCGCCGCGGGAAGCGGCGCGCAGAGACGGGCGAGACCUCGCCUCGGGAUUCGGGGAUCUCGAGCUCGUCCUCGCCGUCCAAGACCUCGCUCGCGAUCCGGGAGAGGCUCUCCCUGUAGUUGGAGAUCGAACUCCGCAUGGCGACGAGCUCUGAUCGAAUUUGGCGAUCCCCUUCGAAUCGAGAUUUAGGGCGAAGGGAUUAGGGUUUGGGCAGUAGAUCGAUAAGUAGAUCUGAGGAAGAGGGCGAUGGGGGGAAGGGGCGAGGACGACGAUGGUUUGGAUUUCCGUUUUUCUAUUUUUUUCAAUUUAUAUUUAUAUAUAUAUAUAUAUAUAUAUAUAUAUAUAUAUACAGCCACGAACCGAAGCGUUUUUAAAAAUAAAAAGCAAUUUGCAUAAAAAAUUCUCUUAUGGCUUUUGCAAAACUGGGCCUCCUCUUUCAUUUUUACAGAUUCGGUCCGAAUUUCAGCAAACUAACCAAAAUACCCUUUAUUUUUCUCUCUCCCUCUUUCUCUCUCCUCUGCGUUUCUCUCGUUCUUUUUUUUUCUCUCGCCAAAAGAAUAAUGAAGGCAGAGGCGAAGGCGAAACAGUCUGCUCGCCUCUCACCUCAUGCUUUCGCCCUCACCCUUGCCCUCGCCCACGCAUCCCCCACCUUCCUCGCCUCCGAUUCCGCGAGGCCGGCGCCUCGACUUUUUUUUUUUUUUUUUUUUAUUAUUGGGGGUCUUUUUUCUUUUCUUUUCUUCUCCGACUCUCCUCCACCGUCUCCGACGACGACGUCUCUCUCGCCCUUCCCCGCACUUCUCGUCCCUCCCUUUCCCUCCUCUCCGCCUUCGACGACGAUGCAUCUUUGCCGGCGCCGACAUCGACACCGUGGAGGUCACUGCGACGCUGCAGCCUCGAAGCCGGGGGUCCUUAGCGGCGUCGUCGCCGGCGCCGUGGCCGUUAGAAGAGAGAGGCGACAAAAAAAAAUAUAAAAGAAGCAAGAAAAAAAAUAAAAAUACAAAAUUAUAGAAAAAGAAGGAUGAAGAUGAAAUUGCAUUGUUAACUGUAAAAAAAAUUAUAAGUUGCACUACUUAAAAUGUAAACUGCAGCUUUAAGAUGAAAAUUACACUUUUUAAACGAAAAUUACACUAUUUGAAAGAUAUUUACAUUGUUUCUCCUUUUAUUGCACUCUUUCAGAUGUAAACUGCAUUCAUUAAGAUGAAAAUUACACUCUUUAAAUGAAAGUUGCACUGUUUCUCUUCUUGUUGCACCAUUUUUUCUCUUGUUACACUAUUUUUUAUCUUAAACUGCACCCCUUUAAGAGAUAUUUAUACUGUUUUUUCUCUUGUUGCACUGUUUCUCCUCUUAUUGAAUUAUUUAUCCUCUUGUUACACUAUUUUUAUCUUAAACUGCACGUUUUAAAAGAAAAAAUAAUGUAACAAGAGAAGAAAUAGUACAACAAGAGGAGAAACAAUAUAAAUAUCUCUUAAAUAAGUGCAGUUUAAGAUAAAAAAUAGUGUAAGAAGAGGAGAAAUGGUGCAACAAGAGGAGAAACGGUGCAACUUUCAUUUAAAGAGUGUAACUUUCAUCUUAAUGAAUGCAGUUUACAUCUGAAAGAGUGCAACAANAAGAAGGCCACUAAAUCCUGUAUCUGUAGUAGUGGAAUGCAACUUUCGUUUAAAGAGUGUAACUUUCAUCUUAAUGAAUGCAGUUUACAUCUGAAAGAGUGCAACAAGAAGAGAAACGGUUUAAAUAUCUCACAAGAGUGUAAUUUUCAUCUUAAAGAUACAGUUUACAUCUUAAGUAGUGCAACUUGUAAUUUUUUUUGCAAUUAAUGAUGCAAUUUCAUAUUCAUCAUUUUUUUAUAUAAUUUUUUAUCUUUUUUUUUUUCUUCUAUAAUUUUUUUUUUAUCACCCUCUCUGCCAACAGCCACGGCGCCGAUGACGACACCGCUAAGGACUCUCCCGCUCCGAGGCUACAGAGCCGCAGUGACCUCCACGGUGUUGGUGUCGGCGCCGGCAAAGAUGCAUCGUCGUCGGAGGCGGUAAAGAAGAAGGGAGAGGGAGCGACGAGAAGGGCGGGGAAGGGCUAGAGAGACGUCGUCGUCGGAGACGCUGGAGGAGAGUCGGAUAAGAAAAGAAAAGAAAAAAGCGAAAAAAAAAAAGUCGCGACGCGGUCUUGACGGGGUCGGAGGCGAGGAAGGUCGGGGUGCAUGGGCGAGGGCAAGGGCGAGGGCGAGAGCAUGAGGAUGAGAGGCGAGGCGGACUGUUUCCGCCUCUGCCUCUGCUUCGCUACUUUUUUCAAAAAAAAGAAUGAGAAAAACGAAGAGGAGAAAAAAAGAGGAAAGAGAAAAAGUAAUAAAGGUAUUUUGGUCAGUUUGCUGAAAAAGCGGACCGAAUCUACAAAAACGAAAAAUAUGGCCCGGUUUUGCAAAAGCCCAAAAUAAGUAGAUUUUUUAUGCAAAUUGGCCAAAAUAAAAUAAAAUAAAAUUUUAAAAAAAUAUCUUAUUUGGACCUAAAAUAUAGAAAAAAAAAAAGAAAUAAAAAAAUGUUUUCUAUAUCACUAUUUUCUAUAAGUGGUUCAACACUUCUUUCAAUAAAUGAGUAAAGUAGAGGUUAAAUUAGUUCGAACCGUAAUCGAGCCUAAUUUGAUUUGUCCAAACCGGGUCAUAUUCGGGCCUGGAUUGUGGGUUCGGACCACGGGUUUGAUUUGGGCUUACUAUAUGGCCCUUUGUGUUGAAAAGCUGUUCUCUGGACCUAGUUCACCACGUCGUUCAUGGACCACGUAAGCCAUGUGUGCCCAUUCGUCGCUUAUUCAAAUCGGUGUCACUUUCACGCUUUUAAAAAUUUAAAAAUAUAUAUUUCUCUUAUAUAAUGAUUGCUAUUAAAAAUGAGCAUAGCUAAUUAUAAAUACAAAAUUGGGUGUUAAUCUAACACCAUUAAUUCAAGGGGUAAUUUUAUAUCCCUAAUUUUAUUACAAUUUUAUGUUUUUAACAUUAAAAAAUAAAAAAAGUUAUUUCAAUUUUUAGAUUGAUGGAAUAUAAGAUAUAUAUAUCUUAUUUUUUGAGAUGCGUAGAUAGCAUUUUUCAUUGACGAUUACGGAAAUAAAACAAUCCUGACCUACGAUUUGAUUGGCCCAUUUUGAAACUAUGUAAUUUGAUAAUUUGAUGUACUUUUAUUGUAUUAUUAAAAUUAAAAUGAAAGGUAAAAUGUAUGGAGACUCCUUGAAAUUUUGCUAAUUUUUAAACAGUCUGAACUUUCAAUUUUGGUAAAAAGACUCUUUAAACUUUAUUAAAUAGUUAAAUAGAUCCCACUCUUUAAUUAAAAUUAUUAAUUAGACAAUUAUUUUUGUCUUACAUAUUGUAUAUAAUAAUAAUUUUAUAAAACUUUCAAACAUACAAAAAAAAAAAAAGAAGAGAGAAUUCUAACAUAAAAGAAAAGCGAAAAAAAAAACUAGAGUUUGAUUUAACUUAUUCUUUGUUCGUCGUACUUAAUUAUUAAAAUUGGAAUAAUUUUUUUUUUUUUUUCAGUUUUACAGAAUUAUGUGCACGUUACUUGAAGAGAGAGACCUAUUAAACUAUACAAUAAAGCUAAGGAAUUUAAAUUAAAAAGUUAAAGUUCAAGAGGUCUCCGCACACAUUUACCCAAAAAUAUUAUUUAUAUUUACAAAGAAAUAUUUGGAUGUUUUUUGUGAAAAUAAAAAAAAUACCUCAACAUUACUAUAAAUUUAUUGUAAAAAAAAAGAGUCAAAUCAUUGGAUUUAUUAAUUUACUUAUUAAUGUAAUGCUGAAAUUUAUCAAGCAUAUAUCAAUUAUAAGAUAUACAAAUAUGAAAAUUCGGAUGCAAUCGCACAAAUAGAAAAAUAUUCAGCUCUAAAGAAAAGCAUAAUGUUGUCUAUGUAUUUAUAAAGUAUAUUCAAAGUCUAUUAUUUUUUUUAUACUAAUUUUAUUAGUUUUUAAUACAAAAAAUAUAUAUAAAUUUAUGAACUCUAGCACGAAAAAUAUAAAAUUUAUACAAACUUAUAGAUGCACAUACAAUAUUUUUCAAAACAAUAAUCCUUAUAAUAAAAGUUCACAAAACCGGCCGUCCCUAGAGUAAGUGGCAAAGGGCUUGGUGGUUGGUACCCGAGAUCCAAGUUCGAAUCCUAAUUGAUUCACAUUUUUAGUUAAGUUUAUUUCUAAAAUAAAAUAAAUGAAGCGAGUAGCGAGCUUGCUAUAUAUCUCUAAAAAAAAAAUAAAUAAAUAAAACCGUGAGCAAACUCAAGUGGGCCCCCAAACAAUCAGUUUAAAAACAAGUGACACAUAACGGUCUGAAGACCACCUCCCAAAUUGCCUUUUUAUUUUCGAAAAAAAAAGAGAAAGUGACUUAUAACUGUCUCUAAUAUCUUACCUAUUUUUCUUAUUUUGCUUCCUAACUCUUGUUUUUAUUUUACUAUUAGAUUUCUACAUAUAUAUUUUUUGUUCUAGUUAAAGGCAUUUGGAUUGACGUAUUUGUAGAUUCAACGUAAGUCAAGUGUAGUGGUGUUUGAGUUUUCCUGAAGUGUGAUUUUUUUGUGUUGUUUGUUUUGACGUAACUCAUACCGCCUAAAAGUUAAAUUCAAUCACUUCUGUUGUUUGUUUUGAUGUAAUUUGGUGCUGGUAAAAUUAGUUUUUUGAGUUCCGUUGUUUGUUUUGAUGUAAGUGGAUCUCAUUUUCUCCUAAAUAUUGUAGUAAAUUUACCACUAUAAAAUUUAAUCUAUUAUAUAAUUAAUUUUUUUAUUAUUAUUUAAAGAUAAUCCUAAUUUAUUAUAAAUAAGGUAAUUCUAACCCAUUAUAAGGGAAGUAGAGUUUAGGUUUUACUGUUUAAUAAAAUUUUUAGAGGAGGUUGAGUGUAGUGAAAGUCGAGUUCGGCACUUUAGAGGAGAAAGUCGAGAGUAGGUGAAGUGGAGCUUUAACGUAACUUGAUUUACAUUAUAUUUUUCACUUACAUUAAAACAAACAACGGAAGUGAUGGAACUUGAGUUCCAUCACUCCACUUACACCAAAACAAACGGGCCAGAUUCUAACCGUCAAAAUUUCUGUUAAUUAUGAUAGAAUAAUAAAUAAUAUUAAUUUUAACAAAAUCAUGCCUAUUUAUGUAGAUC